GCCACGUAUGAUCCAACUACUGACCAACAUGAAACGGUAAUAAAGUCAUGAUGACGAGAAGUAUCCUUUCCUUUUUUUUUUCUACUAGCAUAUCUAAAGAUAAUAUAAAGAAGGUGAAAUAAAGCGAGAAACAGGGAUAGACACUUACGGGUCUCGUUGACGACGACGCCGGUGAGAGUGGACUCGAACGACCAAGAAAGGAUCUGGUGGCGUUCGAUGAAAUCUCCGGUGGCUCCCGAGAACCCGACCGCCGCGUCCGGCGGCAGCCCGGCGUCCUUGAAGUCGACGAUCGCGCUGACGUUGUAGAGGCCGAGCUCCGGCAGAUCGUCGAAGCGAAGGGUCGCCGACAGCGUGGUCAUGUCGGCGUCGUAUCUGACCCACGCCGACAUGGUCCCGUUGAAGCUCCCGGCCGGCAGCGCCAUGUACGCACGGGACGUGAUGUUAUUGACGUCCACGCCAAGAUGGUUCGCGGUGUUGUUGGGGUCCCAGCCGUCGUUCCUGAACGCGUCGAACUCCACGGCGACGGUCGGCGGGAAGACGGUGUUCGCCGGGUUGUUGGGGUUGUUGAAGAGACCGAGGAAGCCGCCUGUGGAGUCACCCGGCAGGUUCGGCGGCCACGGCCCGACGUAGAACGCCAUGCCGUCGGCCUGGUUGGUGCUGUUGUGCGGCUUGAUAGCGAAGGUGAAGUUGGAGGUGAAGCUGGCGACCUUGCCGGCGUCGUCCCAGAGCUGCACCGGCUGCCUGUACGCCACACGGCCGGUGCUCCAGAUGGUGUCGUUCGUCAGGUCGAUCCGGUCGCUGCCACCACUGGCGUCAGACAUGUACUUGAUGUCAGCGCUAGUGAGGACGCCGGGGAUGGAGAAGUUGUAGUCGAAGCUAAGCGAGGUGACAUGGGCAACAUAGACACAGAGCAGGUAGGCGAGGCUGAGGAGGAGACUGCUCCCGGAACCCAUAACCAUGGCCAUGGCCGGUGGCUAUUACAGUUACAGCUAGCUCUUCGUGCAAGUAUAUGAUUUUAUCAAGCUAGGCUAUAGCCUGGUGGUUGGUUUCUGCAUGCAGACCAGGGGUCUUUCUUUUAGUCGCCUUUGGUGUUUGGUCUCCGCGUCUGCUAUCGGCCGGCUUCAAUUGAAUUUAAACAAAAUAAAACUAAUUCGGCCGGCCGUACGGUCUGUGGGUAGCUAACGUCACACAUGAUUAUUAUCUUCGAUGUGCAAAAGUAUUUGAAUUCCAACAGAUUCCUCAAACAGCAAGGCAACAACUCAUCAAGUACAAAUAUCUCCUUGAGACGGAUACACAUCAGCAACCACUAAAGCAGCUCAUAGCUACUAGUAAGGUUGAAUAACGAGCCGAGCUAAUUUGACUUAGAUCGGCUUGUUCUGCCUUGUUAGGAUAAUAAACUAGCUCGGCUCGACUCGUUAUUUUAACGAUCUAGAAAACUAGCUUGGCUCGGGUCGCUACGAGCUCAAGCUGGCUGAGGAGGAGACUGCUCUCGGAAUCCAUAACCAUGGCAUGGCCGGUGGCUAUUACAGCUAGCUCUUUGUGCAAGUAUAUGGUCACAUACAGAUAUUUUUAUCAACCUAGGCUACUGGUGGUUGGUUCCUGCAGACCAGGGGUCGUCGUCGUUUAGUCGCCUUUGGUCUCCGUCUGCUUAUCAGCCGCCUUGAAAUGAAUUAGAACAAAACAAAGCUAAUUCGGCCGGCCAAUACGGUCUGUGGGCAGCUAACGUCACACAUGAUUAUUAUCUUCAAUGUGAAAAACUAUUGAAUUCCUAUUUGAAUUCCAUCAGAUUCCUCAAGCAGUAAGGCAACAACUCAUCAGGUCCAAAUAUCUCCUUGAGACGGACACACAUGAGCAACCACUAAAGCAGCCCACAGCGCUACUAGCCUACCGCUGACACUACAACUGAAAAUUCCAAAAGAGAUAGAUAUGUCACUGUCACUCUUAAAACCAUUCACACUGCUUUGGUCAAAAGCACGCUUUCAGCAAUCCCCGUGCAUACGGCAAUGGCGGUUUGCCUAUCGCAGUGGGCUCUUGGAAGAAUUGAUAAGAUUCGCCGUGGCUUCAUCUGGACCGGAACGGCGUCUGCCUCUGCCGGCCGGUGCAGGGUGGCCUGGCCGGUGGUCUGUCGACCAACCGAGCUGGGAGGGCUGGGCGUCGCUGACCUGCAGCGUGCAGGAUUGGCGCUGCGCCUAAGAUGGCCGUGGUUGCAGCGGACCGACACGCGACGACCAUGGCUUCGGCUUCCUGACAAAGUUGAGAAAACAGCCACAGAGUUCUUCAGGACGGCGACGGUUGCCGUGGUGGGGGACGGCUGCACCACGCUGUUCUGGGUGGACAGCUGGAUUCAUGGGUCCUGCAUCCGCUCCCUGGCGCCGGCCGUCUUCGAUGCUGUGCCCGUGCGCAGACAUGGCGUCUCGGUGGCCAAUGCACUUCACAACUCCAGAUGGGUGCGCCACGUCACAGGCCCGCGUUCUGCGCGCCUUAUUGCAGAGUUCGUCAACCUCAGCAACAUCAUCGACCGGACCAUCCUCACCCCGGGAACGCCCGACACCUUCUCCUGGCGGUUGAGUGCCGAUCAGGCGUACUCGGCGUCUUCAGCCUAUGGGGCAAUGUUCAUCGGAUGCUCCCGUCCUGUGGGAGCGCGGCAGCUUUGGAAGACGUCGGCGCCUCCUUGUGUGCGGCUGUUCUUCUGGCUGGUGAUGCAUGGCAAGUGUUGGACGACGCAUAGGCGCUGGCGCCAUGGCUUGCAAGACGACUGCGCCUGUAUCCUUUGCGACCAGGAGGACGAGACGAUGGACCACCUGCUGCUUGGGUGUGUUUUCAGUCGCGAAGUCUGGCAGCUCUGCCUCGUGGCGUUCUUCUUGCAGGGUUUAAUCGUAGUCCGGGAGUGUUCAGCGAUGCUCUGGUGGAUGGACUCUAGGAAGGGGCUGCCCAAGGUGCUGCGCCGCGCCUUCGACUCGCUUUUCUUCCUGGUAGGCUGGUUCCUGUGGAAAGAACGGAACGCGAGAACCUUUGGUGAGACACCCCGUUCGCCGGCGCUGCUCCUGCAGGCGAUCCUCGACGAGGCCGACCUCUGGAUCGCGGCCGGGUUUCGACGCCUUUCGGCCCUGGUGUGCCGUCGCUCGUGUUCUUAGCGCGCGCCUGUUGAUCCUUGUAGCGCUCUUCCUCUCUACAAUGUAGUCUCUUGGCUUUCUCCAGUAGACGUAGGGUUCUUUUCGGUAAUCUUCGGAUUACUGUGGGGUGUACGGACUCUCUUUCUGCUUAAUGAAAUACAUGCCUUCGCAUGUUCAAAAAAAAAAGCUAGAACUAAGCUAAAGCAGCCUGAUACAGCAUCUGGCUGAGAUCAAUCCAUGUUAUCGUCGUCCUCGUCCGGCAGGGGAAUCGCCGCAGCAAGUUCGAUCUCUUUGUCAAUCCUGCUUGCCAUGAAUUAAAAACGUUACAUGAUCAGAGAAGCACUCAGCGUUAUCAUAAACAAUGUAUGCAGCAUGGUAAAUCAGUGUUGUCGUCAGGUACAUGUUUGCUCGAAUAAUGACUUACUUUUGCUGCGCAGCAAUGUUGAUGGUCACGUCGGCAGAGACGAGGGCUAUCUCUUCGACGAAUUUGAGGUCCAUGUUCCUGUAUUUACAGCCAUGCAUCAGAUUACCAAUCGUUUGGUGUUGCUACCGCAUAUGCAUUGCAAUGAAAAGAAUGUCGGGUAGAUUGUGGCCACAGAAUGACGACAAUACCUACCCAGCGAUCUUCCUUGCAAGGUAGAGAAAAGGCUUCUCGAAGUUAUAGUUGCUCUUGGUAGAUAUCUCAUAGUACUGGAGGUUCUUCUUCCUGUGGUAAGUCACUGACUUGGCCUUCACCUGCUGGUUCUUCACAUCCACAUUGUUGCCGCACAGGAGUACAGGACAACCGGGAUGUUCUGACAUACCCUAAUAUAUAUGCGCAAAAAAAGAUGUACCAUCAAUUCGACCAGGACACCAACAAUUCAAAAGGAAAAACUUUUACCUGCUGAUGUCCCUGUGCCAGGUGGGAACAUUCUUGUAGGUGAGUCUUGAGGUGACAUCAAACAUGAUGAUCGCACAUUGACCAUUGAUGCUGCACAAACGUAUGACCAAAUAUUAACCCUUGAAAAUGCAUCUCACUGUUUUUAGAGUCACAGUCCCGACCCGCUUGCGGAGGCGAUGUGUGCGGCUGAUGGUCCUCCUGCUUUGGUCAUAUCCUUCGACCCGAUGCUGGAAGAGUUCCUUGCCGCCAUGUUCGUCGCGAGCUACUCUGCUGUGGUGGCCGUCCCCCAGGGGUUCAUGGAGCCACCUCUGGUGGCGGCUGUCCCCUCGCCUCAGCAAUCGGUGCAGGAGCCAGCGCAGCUCACACGUCUCCUUGGGUGGGUCAGCCCAACGUCGAGAUUGGCGACGAGACACCCAUGCUACGCGAGGUCACUCGGCGCCUCGCACGGUUUCUUGAUGAGGCGUGGGUCGUAUGGGAGCCACCUUUGAUUGCCUUCCCACCUCGGCAGAGGACGUCUGUCAAAAGGCCCCCACCUAUCCUAGCCAGGAGCAGUCGGAUCGCUGCCCAGCCAUUGGCGCACAUUCUGGCCUCCAAGUGGAGCGAGGUUCUCCUAAACAAGCGACUAGGGUUUGCUCCGCUGACCGCACUGGUUUCGCCCGUGCCGAGGGGGAUACUCGAUGCUCUACGUUCCAGGAGCCUGUCGUCGAGCGAGGUGGAGGGCCUGGACGAGCUAUUUCCAACGUUCAACAGGCGCACGUGCGAGCUCUUCCAGGAGGACUCGUAAGACGCGACAUUGAGCGGAUUUUGGUUGACCCAUUUAUGUAAUAUCGAUCCACAUAACUUUUUUUGCUUGGUCGGUUCAACUGUUGACCACCUAGCGCGCUUUUUGCAUGUCAUUUGUGUUGUAUACUCUUUUUUCUUAAUAUAAUGAUAUGCAGAUCUCCCCUGCGUAUUCGAGAAAAAAAUCGUCUAGUCUCAAAUCUUUUAUGGAUCUCUACCAGUUCUAGUAUAACUGUCUCUCUAUGGUUACCACAUUGGACCUACUCCAGCUGUCAUGGCUGCUCUGUGGGUUCAUUUGUAUCCUCCAUGAUGAAGCUUGCCUAUUUGUUUAAAUGUUUUUGUUUAUUAGCUUACGUCAGUUAGCAACUUAGCUUGCAUGAGAAAAUAUUAACACAUUAGGAUUGGAUCACCACAUCAUCUUGACUUCGUUGAACCCAGAAGCUCACAUAAAAAAAAAAAUCUCAAGAAAAUCACUUGACAUUUAUUGCAUUGAUUUCUACCACUUUGUGCAACAUUGCCUCCCUGCAUUGGAUAAAUUCAAGCUAUCCAAACCGAUGUCCAUGUUGAUCUACAUUGUAAUUACUCAAUCGAAGCUAUCGAAUAAUCUUGUUUUUUGUUCUCGAUAAGAUAUUAAGGUCACACAAUGCGAAGCAAAUGUAAUGUACUCCUUUUAUUCCAAACUAUAAGUCGCUUUUGACUUUUUUGAUAUAAUAGAUUUUGCUUUAUAUAUAGAUAUAUGUUAUAUUUAGAUACAUAAACAUAAAAAAAUUCUAGCUUUCGGCGUAUUUAGUAGAGGGUUUCUGCGUAUCCUGUGUGCGAGACCCACGGCGUAUUUAGUAGAGGAUUUCUGCUUGCUUUCGACGCGACUGCCUGCGCCGCGAUUGGCCGAUUGCCGAGUGGCCGCCGUGGGUUAGCAGUUAGGUUCAGGUUUAACAGGAAGUUUAAUAAUACAGCUUUGGCUAUAAGGUUUUUUUUUAGCUUUUUUUAACCCACUCAUACAAUAAUUGUUCACUAUUAAUACAUGACCGACUUAUCUCUAUCACAAAGUUUCUUGGUUUCUAUGUCUAAGCUGGGUGUAAGGUUACAAGCUGCUUCUUCUCUCUCCUCCAUUCUCUCCUUCAUCUCAGCAUUUAGCCCACUUAUAACGUAUUAUAAUACUUGCUCUAAGCUGCUUUGUGCGCCGUCCAAUGUUUUUGGGGCGUCGCCUAGGCGUCGCCUAGUCGUCGCCUAGGCGACAAGGCGUGCUGGAGUCCAUGGGCGUCGCUGGCGCCACGUCCUGCACGGGUAAGGCGUCCGCCUAAUCGAAUUAGGCGUCGCCUAAGAGUAGUUUGGCGUCAGGCGGACGCCUUAUGCCAUGCCACCGACGCCGGAUGCCAAAUCGCUGGGAAGGACGCCAAAAUUACCGUGCUCCCGCGGGAAAUCGACCGCACACGCGGGAAAAGGACCGCGCUCGCGGGAAAAGGCGCGGGAAAUCGACCAUGGGGGAACUAGAUAGGCCGCGGACGCGGGAAAUCGACCGCGCGCGUGCCAUUUACCACGACUGCAAGCGAGGUCGAGGGGAGCGGAAAAGAGAAGGCGGCAGGCAGACCGAAGACCUCGAGCUCCGCUUGGCUGCUCGUCGUCCACCGGCUGGUCGCCCUUGCCGUGGAGCCGGCCUUGCAUCUCCGCCUGGCCUCCGCACCUGCCGUGGAGCCGCAGUCGCAGUCCGCUCGUCCGUCGUGGAGUCGCAGUCCGCUCGUCCGCCUCCAGUCUUCGAGCCCGCAUCUGCUCGCCCGCCUCGAGUGUCCGCCUCCAUCGGCCGGUUCAGAGCUGCAGCUGCUCACCCACCUGCGCCUCCGCCUGGUGCCGUGGUAUGUCCCCUGCCUCCGCUGUCCUCUCUGUCUCUGGUGUCCCAAAGGCCAAAUCUCCUUGACGUGUACUCUGUUUUUCUGAAUAUAGAAUGUCUGUGCAGUUGUGCUCUGUUUUUUCUCUGAAUAUUGUAUGUCUCUUGCUCUGCUUUUGAUCUAAAUGUAUAUUGUAUGCCUCAUGCUCUACUUUUACUCUGAAUAUUGUAUGCCUAUGCCUUGUGCUCUGCUUUUGCUCACGCUGCAUGUCCUUUGCUCUGAAUAUUGUAUGCUAAUGUCUGCGUAUGCACUGAAAUACUUAAUAUUGUAUGACUCCACAUACACUGCUAUGGAGUACAACACAAAGCACAACUGCAAAAGGGUCUUUCUUUGAUUAGUAUAUAAUGUCUGCCAUUCUGUUUGUGUUCUUUCUUUAGUGUGCAAUUUUACAUAACAUAAAGAAGGCACUUGCUUUGAUUAGUAUGUUACUUUCUUUAUUACAGAACCUCUUUAUGCCAUUUUCCUAAUGCUGUUCCUUUCUAUUAUGUAGCAUCCAGCAACAUGGCAAGCUCAGUUGAAGCACCUGAUUAUGAUCCCAAGACUGAUCCAGCAAGAAAAGCAAAGUCCAAUGAUCCAGGCUGAAAAUAUGCCUACUGGCAGGACCCUGCUAGGAGAGACUGGGUGACAUGUAUCCUGUGUGGACAUGAGGGUUCAGGAGGCAUAAAGAGGUUGAAGCAACAUUUGGCUGGUGGAUAUGGAGAUGUUGUCCUUUGUUCAAAAGUUAGCACUGAAAUCAGGAAAGAGAUGGAAGCUUACUUGCAAAAGAAGAGAAGAAGACCUUUGUAUUUGGAUGGUCUUGUGGAGGAGGAUGAAGAACCAGAAGAUGAAGUUGUGGAGGUGUCAGCAGUAGAUGCACAAGCAGCAGCAACAGAUGCAAGACCAAAAGUGGCUGCAAAAAAACCAAGUUCUGGGACAGCCGCCAAGAAAAGGCAUGCUAUCUAUCAAUUCAAAGCUUCAGCUCCUAGCAGUGUCAAUUCAACACCAAAGACACCAAAGGCAACAAAGUCAGUUGUUGCUAUGCUUAGAAGAACACCUGAACAGAUAGUAGAUCAAAGGCGUGUAAAGGACUUUCAACCCACCAUUGAGUCCAGCACAAAGACUAAGGAGGAGAAGCAAUAUGUGGAUUUACAAUGGGCACUAUGGUUCAUGGAGUGUGGUGUAGCCUUUAAUGCAGCAAAUUCAAGGCAAUUUGAAAUUGCCUGUGAGGCAACAGCCCAAUAUGGUUCAGGAUACAAGCCUCCAACUAACAGCAGCUUGGUGAACCUUUGCUUCAAGAAUGUGUUAAGGUGACAAGUGCCAUGAGGAAGGACCAUGAGCAAGCAUGGAAGCAAUAUGGUUGUACACUAAUGUCAGAUGGAUGGACUGAUAUGAGAGGGCGUCACUUGAUUAAUUUCCUUGUGAACAGCCCUGAGGGAACGUAUUUUCUAGAGUCAGUUGAUGCAUCAAAUCAAGUCCAUAGUGCAACAAUGCUUGCUGAUUUGCUACAGGAGAAGAUUGAGGACAUUGGAAAGGACAAUGUUGUUCAAAUUGUGACCGACAAUGGUGCUAACUACAAGGCUGCUGGUAAGAUCUUGAUGGAUAGAAUUCCCACACUGUUUUGGAGUCCUUGUGCUGCACAUUGUUUGGAUCUGAUGUUGGAAGAAAUUGGGAACUUGAAGGCAUUCAAGAAACCUAUUGCACGUGCUAGGCGUGUCACCACAUUCAUUUAUAGGCAUGGGAGGCUUCUUAGUGCAAUGAGGGCUCAAACAGGUGGGACUGAUCUUGUUAGGGCAGCAAAGACUCGAUUUGCCACAUCAUUUCUGACAUUGAAGAGUUUGUACAAGAACAAGGAUGCCUUGAAGAGCUUGUUUGUUAGUGAAGCAUGGACUGGGAACAACUUGUGUACAACUGCAGCAGGUCAACAAGUGCAAGACAUUGUGCUAUCUACUGAGUUUUGGAACUCAGUAGAAGAUUGCCUAAGAGCUUCAGCACCACUGUUAAUUGUUUUGAGGGCUGUUGAUGGUGAUGAGAAGCCUGCAAUGCCAGAGGUCACAGCUCUGAUGAAUCAUGCAAAAGAUAGGAUAAAGCAAAGCUUCAAUAUACAAACCAAGCAGGGCCUGCUCAAGAAAAUUAUGGACAUUAUUGAGAAGCGUUGGGUGAACCAAAUGGAUCAUCCACUGUAUGGGGCUGCACUAUAUUUGAACCCAAGAAAAAUUUUUCCUCUUCUAAAAGCUAAUGACGAUGCCACUGUUGGGCAGUUAAGAGGCUAUUUUAUUGAAGUGCUUGGAAGAAUGAUACCAGAUGUGAAAACACAAAUGAAGAUCAAUAGGCAGGCCAUUGAGUAUGAAGAGCAACGUGGUGAUGCCUUCUCAAACAAAAUGGCAAAGGAAAGCUAUGACAAAAUGAGUCCUCGUAAGUGUUGUUAAUCUCAGCUUGCAAAUUUUAGCAACUUAAUUGCAUUCCAAACUCUUAAUAUGUGUUGUACUUUUCAUCCAGUUGAUUGGUGGCGUUCUUAUGGUGGCCGAGCCAUUGAACUACAAAGACUUGCUAAGCGCAUAGUUAGUCUUUGUGCUUCAUCAUCCGGUUGUGAGAGGUGCUGGAGUACCUUCAGUCAUGUGAGCAUCCUCGUAAAUUGUGAUUAACAAAUUUUAUUUAGAUGCAUACAAUCUGAUUUUUGGUUUUGCUUCCCAUCUGAUUUUUUUGUUUGUAGAUGCAUACAAAGAAAAGGAAUAGGCUGCUGCACAAGAGAUUGAAUGAUAUUGUGUUUGUUUCAUACAAUCGGAAGAUGAGAACAAGAUUUCAGCUUACGCGUGAGAAGGCAGGCAAGAAAUAUGACCCUUUGGUCAUUGAGGAGUUCAAUUGGGACAAUGAAUGGGCUGAUUCAUUGCAUGUGCCCAUUCCGAGUGCUCGAGGGUCUGAUGCUGUUGAUGAGCUCACAUGGCAGCAUGUUGAUGAAGCCACAGGUGCAUCACAAGCACUGCGGGGGCGUAAUCUUCCUAGGAGAGCUACUGCUACUCUACAUUAUAGUCGUUCGAGAAAUGUUCCUGUUCCAGCUGGUGAAGAUGGAGAAGAGGAAGAUGAAGUUGAAGACCCACAUGAUGAUGCGGAAGUGAGCGACUGUGAAGAAGAUGGCAAUGUUCCUGCUACUGAACAAGACAAGGCUGCUGAUCCUGAUGAGUUUGAUGAUGGAUUUUGAGUGCUGAAACAAAGAUUUGCACUCUUGCUGAUGGAUUCUUUUGUGUCCUGCACCCUUGCUGUACUUUUGUGUUGUCACACACUCCUGUUGUAUGGCUGUGGACUGUGGUGUAGUUGACUUAAUUAGUAUGCUGUAGAGUUCAACAGUUUAAGUUUGUGGACUAUUUGAGACAGACUAUGAUGUCAUUUGUCAUGCUCAUGCAUGAACUAAUGCUUGCUAAUUUGUUAUUUUGCCUCUUGUGUAUUGUUUCCUAUUUAAUUCUUAGCAAAUAGCAACUAAUAACAUGUUUGAUUGCUGAAUUCUGUAACUGUCAUGCAGGAGAAGAGCUUUUGGAAGGGAAAGGAAGGAACUUGGGAUCAAGAAUUGGCAACAAACUAAGUAUGUAUGUGCUGCACUAGUAUAUAAAAAUUCUAGCUUACAACGCCUUACAAUGUGUGUAUGGCGUCGCCUAGGCGUCCGCCACAAACGCCUAGGCGUUGUGAAGGGGGUCGGGCGCGGCGCCACGCCGCGGCGCGGCGCCUCAAAAACAUUGGCGCCGUCAUGGGUUAACGACUUACGUGUUCCCAUAUGGAGGGCCCUACAUGUGCCCCUUCGGAAUUCCGUUUCAGGCCUAGUUUAGUUGAAAAAAAAAAUUCAAAAUUGUCCAUCACAUCAAAUUUUUAAAUGUAUAUAUGGAGCAUUAUAUAUAGACAAAAAUAAAAAAUAAUUAUACAGUUUUUUCUAUAAUUUAUGAGACAAAUCUUUGAAUUUAUGAUUGAACAAUAAUUAUCAAAUAUAAACAAAAAUGCUAUAGUAGCCAAAGUCAAUUUUUUUUGCAAACUAAACAAGGCCAAAGUAUAUCGCUAUGGAUGGCAGGAUUUUUUUUUUCAAUGCCAGUGAAAACGAACCGCGGUUGGGUGAAAAUUAGACCCAGUAUAUAGCUAUGGAUGGCAGGAUGGGUCAGGCCCAAAUGGUGCAGCGAGCGUAAGCACAAGAAGCCCAUGGGUGACUCGUGUUUAUACUGAAAACAAAAAAGUCUACUUUUCCUCCUUCAAUUUUUACAAAAGUCCGUUUUUCCUUCUUUAACUUCAAAACCGAGCAAAUCACCUCUUUCAACUUUUUAAACCAUGCAUUUUACCUCCCUAGAGCGGUUUUAAAGGCGGUUUUGCUAUAGUAAAUAGUGGUUUUGCUACAGUAACGAUGAUUUUGUCUUUUUCUUUUUUUUUUAAUUAUUUCGGCUGAAUUUUUAAAAAAUCAUAGUAAAUUAUAGAAAAAUUAUAAAAUAGAAAUCCAAUUUUAUUAGACUCCACAUAAGUAGAUCUACAUAGUAAACAUAUAAUAUGAUAUGCUUUAGUACAAAUUUUUUGCUAUAAAGGUUUUGUCCUUUUUUUAUUUAUUUAUUUGGUUGAAUAUUAAAAUCAUAGAAAAAUUAUAAAAUAGAAAAUCUAUUUUUUAGACUCCACAUGAGUAUAUAUAGAAAAUCUAUUUUUUUAAGUAUUUAAAACUUUAAUAGUUCUUUAAACUAAAGCUAAAAUAACGGAUGUGGUGGUAGGAUGAUGGCCGCACACAUAAAGAGACAACAAAAAAAAAUCUUCAAGCAUCAUAAUCUUAUAUCAUGAGUUAUAUAUCCCGUUGCAACGGAACAAAAUCUUUAAGCAUCAUAACCUUAUAUCAUGAGUUAUAUAUCUCGUUGUAAUGCACGAAUAUAUUUUACUAGUUAAUGAGUAAUGCGUACGAGAGGGAAGCCAAGCAAAAGGGUCACAGGGUGCGUCUCCUUUUCCUAGUGGCAAAUCACAUAAUUUUUUCAAGUUCUAUGGGUAUGGGUUCAUGAAGCUAGAAAAGGAGCCGGAAGAAACUAUUAUUUUUUAUUUCAUCUCAUCCUAAAUCUCUAUAAAAGUACGUUUUUAGAGCUUUAUCAAUGGAGUCAUUCUUUUUUAUCUCGUUUGGUAGAAAACAGCCCUAACACAGCUCUUGAAACCUCUCGAGAAACCCCUACUAAAUGGAUCCAUAGUAACUGAUAAGACCACUAAGUCCAUCACGACCGAACAAACCUUAUUACAUACUAUAUAUAUAGAUACUGUGUUACAAAAUGAAUAAAAGAGAUGGCACAAACAGUGGUGGGCUUUGAUGAAGACUAGGGCCAAAAUUAAGUAGUAAAAAUAUUUAGGUCUGAUGAAAGAUCAACUCUCAUAUCAGUUCAUUGAAUUGUGCUAUAUAAGCAUCGAGAAAAAUAAUAUGUCUAAAGUCAUGUUCCUCUAUGUCGUGUUUUUAGAAAAAACACGAGCACAUUGCUCGCAGGUAACUAAAUGAACAGUAAGGUCUUGUUUAGUUUCCUCCAAAAUUCAAAAUUUUUUUAAGAUUCUCCGUCACAUCGAAUCUUACAUCACAUAUAUGGAGCACUAAAUAUAGGUUAAAAAAUAACUAAUUGCAUACUUAGGUUAGAAAUCGUGAGAGGAAUCUUUUAAGCCUAAUUAGUCCAUGAUUGGACAAUAAUCAUCAAAUACAAAGUGUUAAAAUUCAAAAACUUUUUGGAUCUAAACGAGGCCUAAAUAAUAUUGCUGAAAAAGACAUAAAAACUAAUAUAAAUGCUUUGGAAUUCUUAGGUUUGUGUGAUUGAUCACAUACUACACAUAGGCUAGUUUGAUGAAGAUGAUUGGCCCCAGAACUAGAAUAUAAUUGUAAAGUUCCAUCUCGUACAUAUAUAUUUUAAUCGAAGCCAAUCCAGGCACAGAGAGCAACCAAUACUAUAUUGUAGGAUAUGGAUUGAAACAUGCAUAUACAUCUAUCUAUUCCAAAAUUCAAAUACGUACAAUCAUGAUCGCACUUGCAGUCACAGUCACUAAGUGCAUGCAUCUUCCUCCCUGGACAAAGGCUGAAACGUUCAUCCAAUCUUCUCUAUCUGCCGAACAACUCAAGGCUCCACACUGAUGGAGCAGGUCAUGUGUGCAGGGUAAGUCAUGACUAGGGCCGUGGCCCUACUACCUGGGUCUGCCCAUGGGCACAAGGUAGCAAACAUGAAAUUCGAAUACUUAUGUUUUUCCUAAAAUAUAGUUCAUGUAGAAACACGUGUGGAUGGGCAAGUUUUUCAAACGAAGAUACGAUCACGAAUAUAUAUUACGUCUUGUAUCGAGUACUGAUCAUAUCUCAUCAUCAGACGAGACACAGGAUUGGGGUAAACCGAUCCUGAGGGCAAGAAAGCAUGAAGCGUCGACCAUGCCUAGCUCCUACUUGGCUAAGCUGCAUCAUGUGAUGUGUGCCUACAAGUUAAAGUACGAACCAAACUAAUCAACACGGAUUUGACGUUGCACCGGCCUGAGUCUCUUCUUAAUUCAAACCUUGUCGCCCCUUGUCGUCGACGAAUAACGAGAAAAAAGUUGUGUGAUCCACGAGGAGCACACAUCUCUGCACGCAUGGCCACCAGUUCUCUGCAUAGUAUGAUCUAGCUAGGACAGGCAACAUGUCUUGUUGCUGUCCCCUAAAGCCCUUGGCAUUUUGUUGUCGUCGAGCUACUGCAUCGUGUUUUCUCCUGUCUGUUCUCUGUGGCUCGCGAGGACGUGAAGAAGUCCGGCCAGAAGUAACGACGACGAGUAGCUCCCCUGAACGCAUGCGCUUUUUGUUGGAAUGGCGGUAGCUUUUGCGUCGUGGCCCGCCAACCAAAUUAGCAACUAACGCGUAGACGACGACCGGCUGGACGCCAUUUGGAGAUCUCGAUCAGAUGUACAUACCCUGUCGAUCGACCAGGCUAACAGCCUGUUAACUCUGUCAAAUUUUAAAAUGCAGUCUAGUGAGCCAGAACAAAUCCAAGUAGGUAACUAUAUUUAAUUCCCUGAGUUCGUACUUUUGCUAUACUUGGUACUGAAGUAAGUUGUUCAUUAUUGGAUGGAUCUAUGGUUCCAAUGGUCGUUAAGCAACACAGACCGUCUAAACUCUUCAGGUGGUUCCGCCUGCAACUGUAAUGGUUUCAGAACUUCAGAUCGCAAGCGUGCAGGUUAAUUGCAAUGGUUUCAGAACUUCAGAUCGCAAGCGUGCAGGUUAAUUUCAAUCAAGCCAUGAACACACUACCAUCAUUCUGACGAUUAUCCUUAUUACUUUUCCGCCUCCAAAACACCCUGUGCUGCACUGUUAUACCUGACGCAAAAACAAAAACUACUGUAUAUUAUUUCGCCUAGUUGGCAUUGUCUAGUUGUAUCUAUUGAUUUCUUCAGCGCGUUGUCUUCUGACGAUCUCUUUCAGUCUUUGUGGCGGUGCAAGAAGACAGGCACAGUGGUUAGGCGCACUUUUUACGUGUUUGUUUAGUCUGAAAGGCGUCGCGUUUUGACUAAUUUCAGGUUCGUCGAGCUUGCAUCAUGCAGGGGAUAAAAUCCAAGCAAAGCAACCACCAUCUCCUGCUGCUUUACCUUUACACGAAGAGUGGGUCUGCCGGCCGGCCCAGAAAGCAAAGGCGAAAUCGCGUUAAAACACGCACAUUUGUCAGCUUGACCCAACUGUGAAUGCCGUCCGAAGCCAGCAGACAUCGAUUGGUUUACUUUGUCGGUGUACUUUCAGGUGUACUAGCUAGAUAGCUAGCUGCUAGGAUAAGUCUUUGCUUAGCUGAUCCUCCAAGAUGCACGAUUAUACUUUCACCAAAAGAUUGAUUAUUGAUGCUUAUAUACCGAAAGUGAACGGCCUUUCUGAAAUUAAAGUUGCCAGAGAGAAUUGCUAGGUUUUGAUUAUUGGUGCUUUACCUUUGAUGUAUGGGUGCACUCAGUCAUCAUUGAUUAAUACUAUAACGAUCAUUGAAUCUAAUUCACAUAUAAAUUAUCGACCUCAUGCCAUUAUGGAAAAGUGAUAAAAAAAAACAUAUGCUUAAUACUUGCUUCUAAAGUAUCCAUAUCACCUCUCCCACUUAAAAUUUAUUAUUCCUUUUUCAAUUUUAUGCUUAAGAAUCCAUAUAUAUAGCUAAUGGAUCUUGUAUUGGAUGCAUCAAGGAAACUAAAAUUGGAAGUAAUGUAUCUAUUAUACCUAUACAAGAGUGUUUUUUUUUGCGAGCAACCUAUACAAGAGUGUUAAAAGGAGCUAGCCCAUGUUAAUAGGGUCUAGAAUUUAUAAGAUUAAUUAAAAAAUUUAUGAGAUUAAUUAAAAAUAAUAGACACCACUAGAUUUUAUAAUGUAAUGGUAUGGAUAAAGUAAGGCUUUGUUCGGCAGAGCUCACAGAACUGAUCCUCUGCUGAAUCUAGAAGCUCUCUCAAAUAAUUUUUUAGAGAAAAGUGAUUCUAUGCUGAAUCUAUAAAGUGAUCCUUUGAAAGGAACUAAGAGGAUGGAAACUAAAAUAGUAGCUUCUCCUAAUUCUGUGAAGUGAUUCUCCAUCAUAAUUUUAAGAGUCUACCAUAGAAUCACCUCCCAUAGAGAAUCAGAAUCAGAUAAAGCUUUACCAAAACCGGCCCUAUUUCACGUUUCUUAGUCCUAAUGCAUGUUGUGUCAUAUUAUGUGAUUGCUUAGUGCAACAGAAUACAAGUUACAAUUGUAUGAAUACAUUGCUCCCACAUGAAAGAUAUAUCAAAAUAAUAAUAAAAGAACCCAAAUCAUUUAAUUUACAAAUAAUCCAUCAGCUUAUAUUAAAGCAAAACAGUAUCCCUAAAUACUCUUCAUCUCAAACUGUAAGUUGUUUAACUUUUCAAGACACAAUUUUUUUAUUAUCACUUAGAUAUAGAUACGAUAUGUUGUUAAAACUAUAUAUAUAGCCUAGAAAUAUCAAAAUGACAUAUGUUUAGAAUAUAGGAGUGCGUACUAAUGCCAAUGUAGAGUAAGAGUCCACUUUGUACUGGCUCCAAAUCCACAGCGACCACUCUAGCAUGGUUGAAUGCAUAUAUAUCCACAUCUCUGGUGACUGGUGCGAUGGUACGAGAUGAUCGCUGGUCAUGAUGAGUCGUGACCAAGGUUAGUUGUUUGUGUUCCACAAGUGGCGGCAACAUUGCCAACCUCAAGCCAGUGGAUUUGACGCACACGCACGUACUACCAAUCGCAUACGUCUACUCAAAAAAAAUCGCAUACGUGUGCAACUAAAACUAGUUUUGCAUAUUGUGGCCUUGCAAACUGCAAACAGAUCUGCAGGCCUCGUUCGGUUAGUCCGGAGUAGACCGCUCCGCGCCUAGCUAGUGCGGAGUAGGCCGAGUGCCGCUCUGCUGACACGCGAAAAUGUCUCACAAGAGAAUUGGGUUACAACAUCAAGUUAGUGACAUCAAAGACAUGUUAGAAAAUAUUUGGUAGUGCAAUACAAUUCAAACACUACAAGAGAUUGGGCCUUCUAUGAUAAUUUUCACAUGACAAAGCACCUUUUAGUCAUGAAAGUAAUGUGUUUAUGAUAAUUUUUCUUUGGAUGACAAGUGUAUGUGACAAAGUUAUUUUAGUCAUAAAUAAUAAUCACCAUGUGCCUUUCUUAAUCUUUAUGACAGCAGUUAAUGACAAAAUUGAUAAAAUGUGAUUGUCAUAAAUUUAAAAACAUUUUUUCUAAACUUUGUGACAAUAGCUCAUAACAAAUUUGAUGAGAUAUGAUUGUCAUGAAUUAAAAAUCUGCCAAAUAUAUAUUUUAGCACAAAAAUUGGUGAGAUGUGAAAGAUAUAAAUUUAAAACUAUUUCUAAAAGUAUUUUGCCACAGUCACGCCUAGGUGAACUCAGACCCACCUACAUAAGGUAAAUAUUAAGGUUUAUAUUUAAAAAUUAAAUUUACAAAUUAAGCACAAGCUGUGGCCUAUGGGAAUUGAACCCACGCCCUUGGUCUUGAUAAAGAAUGGACAUCCCACGUCAGCUCUUGUUCUUUAUAAACGGAUUUGUUUUAUUUUUGUUCAGAUUCUUCGACUUAGAGACACAAGGCACACUCCGAUAAACACUUUGUACUAUGGAGUAGGAGCGGUAGGAGCGGAUGCCGUGUCUCUGUCCGUCCGCAGUAGGAGUCCGCCGCCGCCCUUUGCCCAUCGCCGCUUGUCGGAGGCUGCCGCCCUUUGUCGCCGCCGCCGCAACAUCUCACCAACGCCAUCCAACCCCAUCCCAGAAGCUAGCUAGUUGUAGCUCCCGGCUUCCGCCGUCGCCGCCAGCGGCCGAUUCUCGACGCCUCUGGCGAAUCCCAACGACACCGGCAGCAGGCCACCACCGGAGGCAGGACCCCAACACCGACGACAUUAGCCCGAUGCGCUUCCUGGAGCUUGACGCCUGGCUGCAGCUCCAGGCCACCGGGCUUCACUGGCUGAGACGGUGGAAUUGCCCCCAGGAGCUCCAUCCUAGGAUUGGUGCCGGCUGCGGGAGAGGUCGACCAGAGACAGGUCCAAGCCCUUCGAUUAGGAAGGGAAGGUACAUAUGAGAUGAACUUAUAUUUUGGUUUUAUAGUUCGAUUGAAACCAUAGAUUUGAAGUGAUAGAAAUAGGCAAAUAGCAGUCUAUUACGGACAGUGAUCACUUGUUGAUUCCUUGCUAGAAUUAUUUCAAUGUGUCACAGAUGGAUAGAACUUGGAUGAAUGCUAGGGUCUUAGCAAGGAGCAUCGGGAAGGGGUCAAUGAGUUCAUGGGUUUUGUUUCUGAAACUUUGAGCGGCAGACAGGAGAUAUUAUGUCCGCGUCGUAAAUGUUUGAAUCGGUUAAACAAAUAUAAAGGAGAAGUGGAGGAUCACAUAUUAAUGUACGGGAUGUCUACCACAUACACUAGGUGGAUACAUCAUGGAGAACAAUUGGUCAUGAUAUAUGAAAAUGCUGAGCAAUUGAAUGAACAUAAUGCUGCAAUGUUGAGCAUGUGAAUGAAGAUGUUGGGACAGAUGAGCCUCAAGAUGACUUUAAAGUGUAAGACGAAACAAAGAAGACAACAGCGAUGCCCUGCUGAAGCCGGUAGCAAGGCCAACCCCUCUAGUUCGCCCUGCUAAUGGGUUGGGUUUGUUUGGGUUAAAUGGGGUGGAUUCUUAUUUGGCUUUUGCUUGGAAGGGUCCGAAUGGGUUAAUCAGUGCUCUAAGUUGGGGCGGGGUGGGUUUAAAAGACAUGUGGGGUGGAUGAGGCCAGUUAUAACUGAAAAGCCCGUACUCUCAAGAUGGAUGGAAACCCGUAGCUUCGAUGCCCCCAAAGCAUCUAUGGGUUUGAUGCUCGCGAGUUUGUUACUAGAGUCCAUACGAGGAGCCAUAGUCCCACAAAAGAGUCUGCAUCGUCCAAGCGGACAGCAGCUGCCUCCUAACCUGCUUGUAGAAGAACUCUAUGAUGCCAUUGAUGAACAACUCAACACACCGAGGAUGGACAACUCUCUGUCGGCAUCCUCCUGGUGCUCUUCGCGCUUGUGCAGUUGUUCUUGCUGGCAACCCCGACAAGCUCGACUAGGCCUAGCGACGGCAUCAGACAUGUGUACGCGUGGAACCCGACCCCGACGGGGUCCUUGACGAAUGUGGCAGCGACCGGCAAUCUACACGCCAUGGGGCGGCGGUGGCGUGAGCCCAUGUCGCGUGCGCACCCACGCGCACCAUGGAUCAGCGCCGGCACCACGAAGCACGCCUUCGUCUCCAUGAUGAUGUGCAGUGUGUUGUCUGAUAUCCAUGAUGGAGAUCGAACAGGUGGAGUAGGGUGGAUGAGACUCCAGGGACAGAUGGCUCUCGGGCUCUCGGCUCAAAUUAGAUACUGACCGAGGCAAAGCAGGAGAUUCUCUCAUCGCCGAGCAGACCAUGGGGGUGGGCUUCGUCGCUGCAGUGGGGGCGGCUCUUCAACCGCAUGGUGUCGGUGUCCAACGGCAACUCGGCAAGGUGUUCUAAUUCCCGUGGCCUCCUGCACUUCUAGAGUAGCGUUGGAGCCGCAUCGUCGAUGGCUCCAUGGCUGUCUAUUUGGGUUGGGUAUCACGUGGCUCGGUUUUGGUUGGCCCGAAUAUUUCCUAGAAGUUGGGUUGGAAUCAGGUUCUAGACGUCUUGAAAUGUACUGGGUUGGACUAAAAAGGUGUCCUCUUCUGCUAUGAGUGGGUUCGUAACGCGUUGGGUUUUUGUCGACGAAAGCUGGUCGGCAGUCUACCUUGGGGUAUACCCACGGUAGUAGUUUGUCGGUAGACGGUGCGCAAACUACGAACUCGAUGGUGACGCAAGACACGGACAAGCUUUUUAUCGAGGUUCGGCCGCCGAGUUGGCGUAAUACCUACGUCCUGCGUCUGGUUGUAUUGAUUUGUGUUGAGAGAAUAUGAUGUGUCCUAGGGGGGUCCCUUGCCCCUCCUUAUAUAGUCUGGAGGGCAGGGUUACAGAUCGGGAAACUAAUCCUAGUCGGUUACAAUUGCCAUGGAUAAUUCGAUAUCAGAUCCUAUUCUAACCGACUAGAAUCCUGCUCGAUCUCCACAUCUUGUUUCCUUGCGCGAAACUCCAGGUUGUCGGAUCAAGCCUUGAACUCGUCUCGUAAUGGGCCAAGCCUCCUGGCCGAAGUCUAGCCGUAAGGGUAUAGGGGUUUAUACCCCCACAGCUAGUCCCCGAGCACCAUGUAUUGUGAUGUAACACGCCGUCUUGAGCUUCUUCGAUCAGUGAAACUUGACGUCUUCAAUAAGUGGGAAGGUCGCCCAAACAGUUGCAACGGUUCUUUGACCAACUCAAAAGACAGUUGAUCAACAUUGACAUCGAAGAAGCGAGUUGUUCGAAGAAUGCAUGGUGCUCUAAAUUAAAAAAGAUUUCUUUCCUGGUGAAGUGUGCCCACUUUACUUUCUUGAAAGGUAUAAACAUCAAAAAAAAGCAAGCAUAUUCACCGCAAGGUGAAGUGUGCCCACUUAGUCCCCGAGCCUGGUAGGUGACGUAGGCACGUGGUGCCAGGGUCAAAAUAAAAGUCCUCAAAGAAAUUCUGUAACUGAGAUGCAUCGCCAGAUGCAUCGUACCGAUGUAGUCCCCGAGCUUGCUGGAAGGCGAAGUAUGAGCCUUGUAGCAAGGUCUAAAAAAUUGAAUUUACCAGUCCGUCUGCAAUGGAAUAGACCAAUCGACCAGUCCCCAAGCACCAAGUGCGCUCCUUAGAAUUCUGUGUUGCUGUACUGUACGACCAGUCCCCGAGCAUCGAGUGCUCGGUGGUCGGUGCAGUCCUUGAAGUUCCGAGCUGAUAGACUGGGCGACCAGUCCCCGAGCGUCGAGUGCUCGGUGGUCGGUGCAGUCCUUGAAGUUCCGAGCUGAUAGACUGGGCGACCAGUCCCCGAGCGUCGAGUGCUCGGUGGUCGGUGCAGUCCUUGAAGUUCCGAGCUGAUAGACUGGGCGACCAGUCCCCGAGCGUCGAGUGCUCGGAGGUCGGUGCAAUCCUUGGAUUGUUGACUCUCUGGCAUAUGUGUCUUCUUGUUUUUGAAAAGAUCUUUCCAGUUAAAGUUGACGUGACGAGACCUCCUGACAGGGUGUCAGAUGGAUGCAUGAAAAAUUGCGCCUGGCAACUGUGCAGCCGCCCUUUGCAUGAUUUGAGAAAAGGAAACCAUCAAUUGGUACGAAAGUUCCGCCGCAUUAAUUGUCUAUAAUCAUUGUAAACCGAAACGCCGCAUCCGCCGCAUGGCCCGCCCACUUCCCGAGAUUACGGGAUGUGGGAGAGGUGGAGUUGCGGGUUAUAAGAGCCUGACAGUUCCGCCUAUACUGCUUACCCUGCCAUUGCCUUCAAGCCUUCCGCUCUCGCCUCCUUCAACCACCUGCAUCUUCCUAACUCAAGCCAACCUUCGCACCUCCAAUGGCGAAGAGCGACUCCAAGAAGAGGGCCGAACUGAUGGCCAAGGAGUGGAAAAAGUCCCGCAGCACCGCGAAAUCUCUUGGUGACCUCGUCGAUAUGGGGCUUCUGCACAGCCCGGAGCUCGGUGGCUGGAGGGCACCGGAGGGGGAGAGCUACCCCGACCCCCGCGCCGGUGAGAUCGUCGUAUUUGAAGAUUUCAUUAAGAGGGGCUUUGGUGUUCCUGUUCAUCCUUUUCUUCAAGGUCUUCUUUUGUAUUAUGAGAUCGGGAUUUGCAAUCUGCACCCGAACUCAAUUCUCCUCAUUUCCACUUUUAUCCACUUGUGCGAGGCCUAUGUUGGCAUAGAGCCGCACUUCGAUCUUUUUCGGUAUCUUUUCUGCUUGAGGAAGAAGGGAGCAGUUGGAGGUUCCAAGGUUGCAGGUGGAGUAUACCUCAACCUUCGUGAUGGAAUGAAGAAUCGCUACCUGCACUGUCCAUGGAACACUUUCUUGACCGAAUGGUACAGGAAGUGGUUCUACAUCAGGGAGGAACCGGGCAGCUCCACUUUCUGCGACGUGGGAUACAUUCCUGAGAAGAGGAUGAGCUGGACCGACCGCCCGGAGUUCGACGGUCCAGUGGCGGAUCUCAUGAAGCUGAUCGACUGGUCGCGCCUGGACGGGCUUGGCGUGGUCGGCAACUUCAUUUGUCGUCGGGUGAUGCCCUGCCAGAAGAGGGUGCACUCGGCGUACGAGUAUGCCGGAAGCGUGGACCCGACCAGGAUGCGAUCGGAGAUCUUGGAGAAAGCGGAGGUACAACAGCUGUUGAACGAGCUGUUUAACUUCGCGGACGGAGGCUUCAUCCGUGGCAGUGACCGGGUGCAAGCCUUCAAGUUAGGACGACCAGCACCAAAGGUAUGUAGCAGAUUAUUUUGUUUUAGCAUUCGUAUAUCGUCUGCACCUGACUCAUCUCUGUUGCUUUUGCAGAUCGGCGAUGUCGACCGGUGCACAGUGUAUGUAUCACUGGCACCGGGGAUGGAAAAUCCUGCGGGAGAAGACCCGCCAGAGGAGGACGCUGCUCGGUGUACUCAUUACACCAGCAGUGAGGAGGACCAAUCCCGCCCUGUCCCGACCUCCGAGGAGAGGGUAGCGGGGAAGAGGCCAUUGCCGGCAGAUCCCUUGCCGACACCGGAGCUGCCAGCAGAUCUACCGGCGGAGAGCAGCCAAGCACCGAAGCGUCGUCGGCUCGUGCGAAUCGUUGACGACGACGACGACGAUGAGGAGGCUGCGCCGUCGUUAGUCCGACGGGCUCGGAGCCGCCCAGAUAAUGCGCCGGCCGCUACUGAUCGAGUGGCCAGCGACCCCCCUGCACCGCAAGUUGUCGAGAUGGGGGCGCAGGUGCCGACCGGCCGGGCGAGGAGGAGGUUCACCGCGACCCACCGCCGAUCAGACCUGUAAGUGUUCGACUUACGUAUUUUGGAUUUCUCUUUGUUUUUUUUUUGAAAUUACACUUUUGUUCCUGUAGUGCGGCGUCGGAUGUCGACCCCGGCCAGGCUGCCAGCCAGGGGACGGGCGAGCCUGUCCGCGCUGCUGAAGAUACGGCUCCCCAGACCACAGAGCAGCCUACAGCUGCAGUCGCGCCUGGGAGCACCGAGGGGCUCCCGACCGCAGCACCGACUACGACAGGCAGCCCGACCAGGGCUGAAGAGGCUCCCUCAGCUGGCUCCACAGAAGAGGAGGGAAGAUCCCCGACCGCUCCUCCUGCCGGGAGGAGUGAAGUCCCCACGCCACCCCGAGCAGGACCCUCUUCGGCAGCAGGCUCCCCAGGUCUGGUCCGAGGGCCAGUAAUACCUGGGACCACCACCGGGGGUGGCGCAGCGCAGGAGGAGGAGACCCGGGCGGCCUCCGAUGACGAGGUGGAAGAGAUUGAGGGUCGUCCCCGUGAUGGCCGCCAACACGUUUAUGUGUGGCGCCAACGCGGGGAUCACUUUAUCGGGCAUGAGGAGCUCGCCGAGACCGAGGAGGCCGCCAGGGUGGAGCGCGCGGCCAAGCGCCUCGUCGACGAAGUCAAGGUAAGCGGCUUUUUGUACUGCUGUACAUUGUAUGCCUUGCCUUGCAUGGUCGUUAUACGCUUGCUUUGCAGGGCGUAAUGAAAACGGCAAAAUACCGGAAACGGUGCUUUGACCAAAUAGAAGGCGUCGUGGCCGAGAACAAGGCCCUUGCCGCAGAGGUAGACCGGCUGCGGUCGGAAGUCGGGGAGAAGGUGGCCGAGAUGAGUGCCCAAGAGGAGCGUCGUCUCGACCUCACUCGUCGCUUGGCCGAUCAGUACCGGCAGCGAGAAGGUUAGUCACACGCUCUGAGCAGCUUUGCGUACUUGUGUAGUUUGCUUUACUGACCAGUUUAUGAUUCACGCAGACUUGGAGGAGGAGGUGGCGCGCCUCCGACAAGAGAAGGAGCAGCUCAGCCAACAGCUCGCCGGUGCGCUGGAGUCCGGGCGGCGAGUGGAAGAGGAAUUGGGUCGAAAGGACCGGGAAUUAUCUGGUAAUGGGUGCUGCUGCUUGUUGCCCCUUUGUUUGUUUGGUAUGCCGAAAAUAACGUUUUGUUUCGUUUGCAGUGCUCAAGGUGAACACCAAGAAGCACCUGGAUGAUCUGAUCAAGGACCGGGACUCCUGGAAGGUCAACUGUUGCAGGAUCUGGAAAGGAGUGUCCCCGGUCCUAGACCUGAUCAGUCCCGAGCUCCCGGAGAGCCAGCCCCGCGCGCCGCAGUUGACCCCGGUCGAGAAGGCGCAACGGGCGUGGGACUGGCUCCAGCAGUUCGUGAAGGACGCCGGGGAGUUUGCCGGCGCGCACGUCCUCAGCAUGGUGCGCGCCCACUACCCCCUGGUCGACUUGAGACGGCUGGAGAAGGGGUACCCGAAGGAAGUCGGUCCACUGGAAGCAGACGAGCUUCGGGGUAGUCUGCUGGACUUGUCGUCGACAGUGAUCGGCGACAUCAAUCUGUGCGGAACGGCCACUCCCCCCGACCAGCCGAGUUCAGAUAGGUCGGCCAGGGAGUUGUCGGGCGCGUCCGUUGCGGGAGAUGGGCGGUCGACGCCUGCGGUCUCGACCAGCCAAGCGCCGGUGGCCCCGACCCCUUCGUCCGGGCAGCAGGGCCAGGCGGGUGAUCAGCCCGAGCAGCUAGGCCAGUAGUCUGUAGAAAUAGACUAGUGUCUGCCCGUCAGGGUAUUUAUUGUAAACUUUGUAUGUAAAGUUUGUAAUAAAGUUGGUCUUUUUUGUCAUGACUGUUAUUUUGAGCGCUGUAAGAAUAUCUGAGUGACGUGUCACCGUAUUCGUCUUGGUAGUUGUUAAGAGCAUCCAUUGCAGGAGUUUUGCCGAGUGCUGUGUGCGACAAGGUACAGGCAAAAAAUAGAGAAUUUCAUUAUCAACAAUUAUAAGAUACUUACGAAGGAAAGUUAUCAAAACUUUAUGGAUAGAAACGUCGCAGCUUGUCGAUGUGCCAAGAGUUAGGCACUCGCGUUCCAUCUGGGUAUGCCAAUCUGUAGGACGUAGGUCGUGUGACCUCGAUCACCACGAAGGGUCCCUCCCAGGGAGUGGAUAGCUUGUGCAUUCCCUCCUGGCUUGUUUUCCAUCGAAGUACCAGAUCGCCGACCACGAAGGAACGGUCCUUGACAUUCCUGUUGUAGUAUCGCCUGACUGCCGCGAGAUAUUUUGCUGUUCGGAGACAGGAAUCUAAACGCUUUUCCUCCAUGCAAUUGAUUUCGAGUUCUCUGGCGUUGUCGGCGGUCGCCUGGUCGAAGUGUUCGAUUCUAGGAGAUCCGAAGUGUAUGUCAGACGGCAGGACCGCCUCUGCACCGUACACCAUGAAGUAGGGAGACACCCCUGUGUUUCGACUGGUCUGAGUUCGGAGGCCCCAGACCACUGCCGGCAAUUCUUUCAUCCAUCGACCGGGCGCUCUGUCGUUUUCGGUGUACAACCUUUUCUUUAGGGCGUCAACGAUCAUUCCGUUAGCACGUUCCACUUGACCGUUGGCACGUGGAUGUGCCACUGACACGUAUUUUAUGACUAUGCCUCUGUCAUCGCAGAAGUCCCAAAAAGUGGUGCCAGUAAACUGAGUGCCCAGGUCGGUGAUUAUGCUGUUCGGGAUGCCGAAUCUGUGUAUGAUUUGAUUGAGGAACUCCACAGCCUUCUCGGAGGUUGCCUUGACCAGAGGCAUGUAUUCAAUCCACUUGGAGAACUUGUCGAUUAACACGAAAACAAACUUGAAAUUGCCCGGGGCUGGUUUAAAUGGCCCGAUCAUGUCAAGCCCCCAGCAAGCAAAGGGCCAAGACGACGGGAUGGUUUGAAUUUCGUGGGCAGGUACGUGGGUCCUCUUAGCGAAAAACUGGCAUCCUUCACAAUGUCGAACCAGUUUUUCUGCGUCGCCGACCGCGGUUGGCCAAUAAAAACCUGCUCGGAAAGCCUUUCCGACCAGCGUUCUGGAUGCGGCGUGAUUGCCGCAGGAUCCAGCAUGUAUGUCCUCUAAGAGCUUGAUACCAUCAUCUUGGGGUACGCACUUGAGCAGUACUUCGGAGCUUGCGUUUUUCCGCAUGAGUUUGCCGUCGACCAGGACGUAGUUCUUUGAUCGUCGAAUGAGGCGCUCGUUCUCUGUUUUGUCCUGGAGGCCUAUCCCGUCUGAUAUGUAUUUGAUGAACGGGGUACGCCAGUCAGGCCCACCGGUUGUCGGAGUGGCGUCGUCUAUGAGCAUUGCCUCGGUGGGCUGCUUGUCGACCAGGGAGGAGCCUACGCUCGGCUCGUGGAUGUCCUGGACGAAAAUACCCCGCGGGAUCUGGGCCCGAGAUGAGCCUAACUUCGACAACGCAUCUGCUGCUUGGUUCUUAUCCCGGACCACGUGGAUGUACUCUAUGCCGUAGAAGUUGGUUUCCCAUUUGCGAAUUUCUUUGCAGUAGAGAUCCAUCUUCUCGUGGGUUGCGUCCCACUCCUUGUUGAGCUGGUUGAUGACCAAAGCGGAGUCGCCAUAAACAUAGAGGCGCUUGACUCCCAGCUCUACGGCUAGUCUUAUGCCAUGCAAGCAUGCUUCGUAUUCGGCGACGUUGUUUGACGCCGGAAAAAGGAUCCGAAGGACGUAACGCAGUUUGUCCUUGUUGGGUGAUACGAACAGUAUCCCAGCGCCGGCACCGUUGAUGUUCAAGGACCCGUCAAAGAACAUUGACCAGUGGUCUGAGGCAUCGGGAACGGAAGGCUCGUUGAGAUCCGUCCAUUCAGCAAUGAAAUCGACCAGGGCCUGAGACUUGACAGUGGUGCGACUCUGGAACUCCAGGGAAAAUGGACAUAAUUCCAUUGCCCAUUUCACGAUUCUGCCAUUGGCGUCUUUAUUGCGCAGGAUGUCCCCGAGAGGGAAACUGGUUGUCACCAGGACUCGAUGGCCGUCGAAGUAGUGCUUCAGCUUUCUUGACGUUAUUAGAAUGGCGUAUAUGAGCUUCUGUAUUUGAGGAUACCUGGCCUUGGACUCGUUUAAGACUUCACUUAUGAAGUAAACCGGUCUCUGGACCUUGUAGGCGUGACCUGGUUCACCUCGCUCGACCACUAUUGCCGUGGAGACAACCCUGUCGGUUGCAGCAAUGUAAAGGAGUAGGUCUUCAUUGGGCUGAGGCGCUGUAAGGACAGGUGGUGAAGUGAGGAAGGUCUUAAGCUGGUUGAAUGCGGUGUCGGCUUCUUCUGUCCAAGAAAACUUUUCCGACGCUUUUAACAGUUUGAAGAAAGGGAGGCCUUUUUCUCCUAGCCUUGAGAUGAAGCGACUGAGGGCGGCCAUACAUCCUGUUAGCUUUUGGAUAUCCUUUACGUUCUUUGGUGGUCGCAUGUCAAGUACCGCCUUUACUUUUGAAGGGUUUGGUCGUAUGCCGUCGCGACUAACAACGUUGCCGAGCAGUAGACCAGAAGGAACACCGAAAAUGCAUUUUUUGGGGUUGAGCUUCCACUUGUACCUAUUAAGUGCCUUGAAGGUUCGGUCUAAGUUGUCGAUUAGGGUGCUCGCGUCCCUUGUUUUUACGACCACAUCGUCCACAUAGGCCUCGACGAGGUCAUCACGAAUCUCGUCGUGGAGGCAUUGCUGGAUGGCCCUUUGAUAAGUGGCUCCGGCGUUUUUGAGUCCGAAAGACAUGGUCGUGUAGCAGUAUGCGCCGAAGGGUGUGAUAAAGGAUGUUUUGAUCUGAUCUUCUUCCUUUAGCGAGAUCUGGUGAUAACCAGAGUAGCAGUCUAGAAAGGAGAGGAGUUCGCAUCCGGCCGUUGAGUCGACCACCUCGUCGAUGCGAGGGAGACCAAAAGGAUCUUUAGGACAGUGUUUGUUGAGAUCAGUGUAAUCAACGCACAUUCUCCAUUCAUUAUUCUUUUUGCGUACAAGAACCGGAUUGGCGAGCCAAUCGGGGUGAUACACUUCUUUUAUGAAUCCGGCUGCUAGAAGCCGUGUUAUUUCUGUCCUAAUAGCCUCCUUUUUGUCGCGAGCGAACCGUCGCAGUUUUUGCUUGAUUGGUCUUGCGGUCUUCGAGACAUUUAAGGAGUGCUCGAUCAGGUUUCGUGGGACACCGGGCAUGUCUGCGGGUUUCCAUGCGAAAACGCUCACGUUGUCCCUUAGAAACCUGACGAGCGUGUCUUCCUAUUUUGGAUCCAGGUUGGCCCCGAUGAGGGCUGUCUUCUCGGGGUUGCCUUCGACCAGCUGCACUUCUUUGUACUCCUUGGAUUUCGAGUUCUUCCUGGCUGUCGUCUGUUCGGGUAAUCGGAGCUGGUCGGGAGGCAGCUGUGCGGCUUGGUUUGCUGUUUCCGCCAUGCGGAUUGAGAUGUCAAUUGCCUCGGUGAUCUUGAAGCUUUCUUCUUCGCAGGUGUACGCAGUGUAGACGUUGCCUUUGACGGUUAGGACACCCUUCUCCGUGGGCAUCUUAAGGACUAGGUAUGAGUAGUGCGGGACUGCCAUGAACUUUGUCAGCGAUGGGCGGCCCAGUAUGGCGUGAUAGGUCCCGUCGAAAUCCGCGACUACGAAGUUGAUGAACUCCGUCCGGAAGUGGUCGGGUGUGCCGAAUUGGACAGGCAAUGUUAUCUGUCCGAGAGGCACGGAACUUUGACCUGGCAAAACCCCCCAGAAUUGGGCGUCGUAAGGUUUUAGUUGUGCCGGGGAUAUCUUGAGGGCGGGCAGGCUGUUGCGGAAGAGGAUGUCGAUGGAGCUUCCCCCGUCCACGAGCACGCGCUCGAAUCUGAUGCUGUUGAUGCAGGGGUCAAGAAUCAGGGGGAAACGACCCGGCUCUGGGAUAGCGGCCCACUGGUCCUUCCUGCUGAAAGAGAUCUCCCUGUGGGACCACGUGGGAAAUUUUGGGUCUGCGAUCAGCCCGUCCGUGCUGUCUAUGUUGAGGCAGGCUCUCUUUAACAGCUUUCUUUCCCGCUUGGACUCGGUGGAGACCUUGCCCCCGAAAAUGGAGUGGACCACGUCAGUGGGGCUGACGUAUUGGUGUCGGGGGUCCCUAUCUUGGUCCUCAUCCUCAUCUUCGUGGUCGUGCCCGUCGCGCUUGUUAUUUUUCUUGGCGGAGUCGUCUUGGGCGGCCCGCCGUGUAUAGAUACUUUUGAGGACGUGGCACUCUUCCAUGGUAUGAUUGGACUUUGGGUGUAGUUGGCAUGGUCCCUUCAACGUUUUGUUGUAGUCUUCUUGGUAAUCCCGUCGUCCAUUGGGACGUUUGACCGUAUUUACUUCGUGGUCGUAGUCACGAGGGCGCUUUCCUCUGAAGUUGUCGCGGCUGUUGCGCCGCCGAUCCCAACCCUCUCGGUGAUCGCGAUUGUCGGAGCGGCGGUGGCUUCUGCUGUCGUAGCGACCACGACCGUCAUCUCGCCGGGGAGGCUGGUCGGGACCUCUCGCAUCGUCUCGGAUUAGUUUUUUUGCGUCAUCGGCAUCGGCGUAAUUUUUGGCCGUGGCGAGGAGCUCUGCUACCGUUGUUGGGCGCUUGCGCAACAGCUUGUUCCUCAGCGCUUCAUGGAAACGCAGGCCCUUGAUGAAGGCUGAGAUGGCCUCGUCAUGGGAAAUCUUCGGGAUUUUGAGGCGCAUAUCCGAGAAUCGUCGGAUGUAAUCGCGCAGAGGUUCGUUCUUCCUGUCCCUUAUCCUUUCAAGAUCAUACUUAUUUCCAGGCUGCUCGCAUGUGGCGAUGAAGUUGUCGAUGAAAGCCUGGCGUAGCUCUUCCCAAGAGUCGAAGGAGUCCUCGGGCAAGCCGAGAAGCCACUGAUGACCAGCCUGGUCGAGGACUACGGGGAAGUAGUUGGCCAUGACGUGCUCAUCCCCUGCCGCUGAUCGGACGGCGAUUUCAUAGAGGGUGAUCCAGUUCUCUGGAUUUUCCUUGCCGUCGUAUUUUUUAAGUUUUUCGAGCUUGAAAUUGCGGGGCCACACGACCUGGCGGAGGUGUGAGGAGAACUGUCUUAGGCCCGGAGGCCCGUGCGUUGCAUCGUACUCGAUGCGGCGCAGGUUUUCGUGGACUGCUCUCUCUGCGGCGCGCCUGUUGAUGCGGUCCCGGGCAUCUUUGGGAGGGAUGUUGUGGCGGAGAUCCCAGUGUUGAUCUUCUUCUUGGCCGCGUACGCGGUUCUGCUUGCGGCGGCCAUCGGCGUCCCGACCACCAUCGUCACGCCGUGAGUCCCCUCGACGGUUGUCGGGGGAGCGGCUGUGGUGACGCCUGCUGGGUGAGGCCCGGCUACGAUUAGUCUGGUCGGAGGCGGCUUCCGUAUAAGAGACGUCCUGGACUCUCUUGAGCAGAGUGGCUGUCUGUCCCAUUGCGGCGAUCAGGUGUGCUCGGAUGCUGGUCCGGACUCCCUGGCAUUCGGGGGUGUCAGGAAGCCGAUCCAGGUUAGCCAUGGCGACAGCCACGUUGGCGCUUGGCGUUUUGUAGACUGGCUGGUCCCCGACCAUAUCAAAGGCAUCGUUGAGAUUAUUUGGUGGCAUUUGUUGUUGCUCGUCCGCACGUCGUCGGGCGCGAUCGGCGUUACGCUGUUCGCGGAGUUGCCUCUGGUCAUCUGUUUCUCCAUCAACGAACGGUUCGUCGGCGCUGACAUUGAACACAAUAUCCCCUCGCCGGGGGGGGAAUAUCGGGAAUCGGUCGAAACCCGGAGGGUGUGAAGGAAAAUCCAGGUCGUAGUCCUCGUCUUCGGUGUUUAUAACCUCGGUGGGGACGGAGCCGGUGCUUGAGUUGGUGCUGGAAACCUGGCCGUCCCGUAGUUCUCGGAUUGUCACCAUGUUGACGUGGUGACGAUUGUUCCUUGUCGGCGACCAACCCGCCUUGCUGAAAACGGAUUGGGUGUGCUGUGAGUAAACAGAGGCCGAGUUGUUCAGGCCGCAAGGAUAGUCUUCCUUCUUGAGCUCGACGGAUCGUCCUGAGGGGGUUGAGGUUAUCGUCAGAGACGUUCCCAGCCGUUCGUGUGUGGCGACACGAGUUGGCCGGCGGGAUUUGAAAAAAUCCGCUGGAGCGGCUUGGUCGGGCCGACGCAGAACUCCAUCUAUUAGUUGGGAAACUUCGAGUAGCUUGGAGUUAGCGCGAUCAAGCGCUUGGAGAAGGUCCGAGCAGUCGAUCUCCCUUCCCUUGUAGAGUGGGAACGGUGGUCGGGCGCUUGGUGCCGUCAUGCGUGUGGUCGGAGACGGCGUGAUCUCAGAUUGGAUCUGGAUCUCUUUCGAAACCGUGGUCGCGAAACCACCGCUGCACGUCGUCCACGUGAUCUGGCCGACGGUGAACGUGAGGCCUUCGGGCACGGUCGCGGAAGCUGGGAUCGUGACCAUCUUGUUCGCCGGAAAAGUUGCACGCACACCCCCUACCUGGCGCGCCACUGUCGACGAAAGCUGGUCGGCAGUCUACCUUGGGGUAUACCCACGGUAGUAGUUUGUCGGUAGACGGUGCGCAAACUACGAACUCGAUGGUGACGCAAGACACGGACAAGCUUUUUAUCGAGGUUCGGCCGCCGAGUUGGCGUAAUACCUACGUCCUGCGUCUGGUUGUAUUGAUUUGUGUUGAGAGAAUAUGAUGUGUCCUAGGGGGGUCCCUUGCCCCUCCUUAUAUAGUCUGGAGGGCAGGGUUACAGAUCGGGAAACUAAUCCUAGUCGGUUACAAUUGCCAUGGAUAAUUCGAUAUCAGAUCCUAUUCUAACCGACUAGAAUCCUGCUCGAUCUCCACAUCUUGUUUCCUUGCGCGAAACUCCAGGUUGUCGGAUCAAGCCUUGAACUCGUCUCGUAAUGGGCCAAGCCUCCUGGCCGAAGUCUAGCCGUAAGGGUAUAGGGGUUUAUACCCCCACAGUUUUCACCCAUUAGUAGGGUGGCCUCUAGUCGGACAGCCAGACCGGGUUGCCUAUGCGCUUGAGCCCAUGAAUCCUGGUAUGGCCGAAUUUGAACCCGGCCAAGCUGACUUUUUGUUGUAUGCUAAACCAAUUCGUUUUCAAAUUGGUAUGUGACGUGAAAACUUGGAAAACACACUUUGGAGUGUUGUUUUUUACUAGAUAAGACCAUUCUUUGUAUGAGAGGAUCAUGUCCAAUUGAGGAUCUCCACUUUUUUCAAUCAUCAAAAAGCACAUCUAUUAUACUCUUUUACCCCCUCCUCUCUCUACCUUGAUGUUCAUCAUGUCUCCCAGCAAGAUUUGACAGCGUUUUAGGUGACCUUGCUGAUCCUAGGACAUCAUGCUCCUCCCUGAAGUAUUUUUUCGAGAGGUGUUUGGGAGUCUACCAAGCGAAUGAUAGGUUCUACAUCAGCCUAACCGGUUUCUAGAUCGGUUUCGUCGGUUUGUCACGCUUCUCGCUGCGUUCAAGGUCAUAUGUCAGCCACGUGUUUGCUAUUCGAUGUCAAUACAUUCCAAUUUGAGGCCUUGUUUAGUUCACCCCAAAAAAACAAAAACUUUUCAAGAUUCCUCGUCACAUCGAAUCUUGCGGCACACGCAUGAAGCACUAAAUAUAGACAAAAAUAAAAGCUAGUUGCACAGUUACUACACAAUUAGACAAAUAUUUAUCAAAUAAAAACAAAAGUGCUACAGUCCCGAAAAUCAAAAAGUUUUUGAAACUAAACAAUGUCUGAAUAAUGUUAUAUAAAUCAGCGAAUCAUUCUGGCUGGGAAUCGUUCUCAGUCGACAACUUUUUAUAGAGAGAAGCUUUUACCCGAACCAUUGGAAAGUACCCGUGGAUUCAAUCGUUUGAGGCAUCACGUGAUGGAACCAGUUCUUGCCAUCGGAGGUAACCAGUUUUUGCCAGGCGCGGCGGCGCGUGAUGAGCAGGAUGAGACCUCGUUGACAACGAGGCGUGCUCGUGUGCUGCUGCUGGGCAAGGGCAAGUCGUGCAUGCAAGGCAACGUACAUGUGUCUGCCCGACAACAGUGGGAUUAUUGAGCUGUAGCGCCGAAACGUUAGCCAUUCGAGGUUUCGUUCUCUCCUACCCAUACACACGUGCAUGUGAACCGAUCUAGUAGUAGAAAUUCCGUGACAGACACUGAGACACCGGCCGAUCGCAAAAACCUACUCCUCCGAAUUGAACUCCGAUCCGUUGGGCCCCAGCAUCAACAUGCACCUGUGUAGCCUAUAGGAGUACAACACGUGCUUAAUUAACUUCAUCCAAGGCCAAGGACACGGGGAAAGAGGGCAAAGCAGAACCAGGAACAGGAAUGAAUGUUCGUCGCAGCAGGCCAGCGGCAGCGGCAAGCAACCGUCGCCGGGUUCGCGCGCCGAGAUCGAUCGAGGCCCCCCCGAACCCGAGCAUCGUGCUCCUCCCGCGCCCGGCACCGUCCCGCGGUACACGCGGUCCGUCCUUCCGUCCUCGCGCCGGGCCGUGCCCGCCGCUAGCUAGCUGCCGUUUUCCAGAUUCCCAGUUCCAAUUCCAAUUCAAGCGCUGCGCCGCGCCUGCGUGCGUGAACCUGCGGACAUGCGUGGCUGCGUGCAUGCGGUGCGAACGAGACGAGAAGACGACACGACACGGGCGCGCCUGUCCCGGCGGGCCUGUCUUUCCGUGCGCGCCCACCUCGUUUCCCGCCGGGUUCGCCUCCACCCGAUCCGGCGGCCGCAAACACACACACACACACGAACUCCCGCGCCGGGAAUUGAACGGUUCACGGACGUAGUACAGUUAGGGCCAGUCUUAAUGCAUACUCCCUCCGUCUAUGAAAGAGUCAAUUUCCAGAGUUGUCCUAAGUCAAAUUUUUUAAACUUUGACCAAAUUUCUAGAAAAAAAAUGCUAAGAUUUAUGGUAUCAAAUUAGUAUCAUUAGAUUCACCAUAGAAUAUAUUUUUAUAUGAUGUGCAUUUUAUAUCAUAGAUGUUGUCACUCUUUUCUAUAAAGUUAGUCAAACUUUAACAUAGUUAUCAAGACUAUAAACUAGGAGGGAGUAGUUUCAUAACAUAGUUAUCAAGACUAUAAACUAGGUAACCGAGCCACAAAAGUUUCAUAGAGAUGAAACUCCUCUCUCAUCUGAUGAAACUCCUUCAUUUAAUGACUCUGCUAAGAAAGCAAUUUUACUUAUGUGGCAUCCUAUUUAAUAUGCAUGACACUCUCAUAAAACAUGCAUUGAGCCCGCGUAUACGUUGACUCCAUCAGGCAUUCAGGCACGUGCGUCAUCAUUCACUAGUGUACUUGCAUGCAUGCUCUGGUUUGUAGGCUAAAAGCUCGCUCUGGAGUCUGGAGUGCGUGGGUAGUACACCAGCUUAGUGCCGAUCCAUUAUGGAACGACACAUGCGUGGUGGUGGCGCUUGAUUCUAGCGGUUGGCCGGGCUUUGCCAACGCGGACUCCAUGUGGCGCGGGCGCGGCACCGAUCGGUCGCCAUCCGCCGCGCGCAACCGCCGCCCAUCGCCUGCCCGCGCGAAAAAACUACGCACGCGGCGCGCUUCUCUCUGUCGUCGUACUACCUACAGUGCUUGCCCCCCGGAAAGACUUCGCACGAUCAGAAAACCAACUUUUUGGACUCCUAACAUGUGAAUGUGAUUAAGAUUAAGAAACUAGACACAUAUUUGUGGUAUAUAUGGGGAAAAAAACCUAUAACGCUUAGUAUUUGGUUUGGCGGAUAAUGGAUAUUCUCUCACGCCCCAAAAACCAAACACGUUGUAUGGAUUAUAUAUGCAAAUAUCAUAAUAUGUACUCCCUCCAUUUUAAAGUAUAAGUCACUUCAGUUUUUUUUUUCUUACAUAAAAGUUGUUGUGUAUCUAGAGAUAUGUUGUAGCUAGAUACAUACAUAGCAAGAAAACAUAGCGAUUUAUAAUUUGGAUUAGAGAAAGUAGUAACAUAUGUAUUUGUAGCUUUGGUUAAUAAUGAUUGAUAUUCCUUCCAUUUGUAUAACUUCCAAACAACGUGUGUAUUGACACUAUAGUAAAGUAAAUUUUGUUACUAAUACUAUUACUAAGGCUCUGUUUGGACACAUUAGCUUAUUAACUGAUUUGGUCAAAGUAGUGAAAUAAUUGUUAGUUUAGUAUUAGCUACAUUUGUUUAGAUCCAAAGAAGCUAAUUAUAGCAGCUAAUUAUUAACUCCAUCGAUCCAAACAGGCCUAUAGAUUGGAUGCACUAGCUGCUAAUAACUAAUUACUCGUAGCUAGUUGCUAUUAGCUUGGUAAAACUAGUACUAGUUGUUAGCUAGCUACUAGAUCUAUUAAUCCAAGCAGGGGCUAAGCAUUAUGGUAAUAAUUCUUGAACCAAAAUAAGUAGAGGGUGCAAAGUUGCUGCUGCCGAGUUUUAAUUUCUUGUGGUUUGUGACCGUAAGAAACCAAAGGCCAACGUGAGAGCUUAGCGUGACUUACACGACAUAAAUGAAGUGGAAAUGUGGGCUCUUGCAGGGAUUGCUUGCUGGUACUCCUGAUUUUUGACAAAGAUUUGUUCAUGUCUUUAACCGAAAAAGUUAGAAAUUGACAUGUACACACCUGGCAUGACGAAGAGCCGUGAAUAUGUACACAACACGAUAGGUUUUUUUUUUCAUAUAUAUACUAUAAUCUUCUAUUAGUAUUCUCGAAAAAACAUAAUCUUCUUGUAGCUUUCUACAUAAUGAUAUCGUUCCGCAGCAAAAUGAAUUACCUAGAAAAAUAGGUCUCGCCAGCGUCUCAGAACAAAGGUUGCACCAUUUUUUAAAAAAUAAAAUGUAGGAAAAGUUGGUACACUUUCCGUGUGUUUUAUUUUUUUUUUCUUUUUAAUGUAAACAAGGGGGAAAAUAUAUAUCAUGUUUAUAUCCUAUUUUAAUGUAAACAAGGAAAAAUUAUAUAUUUACAUGUGCAUCUUGGUUUGCAGAAUCUCAAGAUCAUGUUUAUAGCUAUAGGAACAUAUUAUUUAUAUGUCAGAUGUCGACCAAAUGACGGACAUGGUUGAGACGCAAAACACCUGGAGAUUCUAAAAACAGUUGCGUAUCAGCUAGCGUCGUUGCAGUACAGCCGUUGUUGAUCUUAAUUCAACGAGAUAAACGGUCAGGUCCGGGCGUUCCCAACCAACUCACAAAUUUUCAAACCCCUUUAUAUCAUCAUUAAUUACUCAUUAGCAGGUCAAGACAAUCAUGAAUCGCCAUGACAAAUCACCCCACACCGAGAUGAUAAGUAGGUUAGAGGAGGAAGACAACUUGUUCUUCAUGGUCAUGGCCGAUCGUCAUCAGUCAUCACCGUCACCUGCGUACACAAAAUCCGCUGAGAUGCCACGUCAGACUGCUGACAUGGUCAAGUGCAUGCAGGAAGGUGCCCUGUUCCCAGCAACAAGCAAGCUCAACUGCCCAAGCCCACAUCGUUGACUCCUCUAUCCCUUGGUGGGGCCCAGUAGUGCCGCCGGCCGCCCCUGCCGCUGCUGCUUGCUAUAUAAACGGCCUCCGCUUCCCGCCCUCUUCACCGGCUCACUUCCAAACAGAAUCGCUUUGCUCUGCUCUAGUAACCAGGACACGCACCGGCCGCGGAAACAGGCGCCGUGUUUCCUUGGUGUCCCUCUCGACACAGGCACAGGCAGGGGAAGGGAAGGCCGGCGAUGGAGAUGGAGGCGGAGCUGGCGUCGGGACGGUGGUGGACGUGGAACGCCGCGGCGGGGGCGUGUCUGCUGCUGCUCCUCAUGCACGUGGCGGCGCGGGUGGCGGACGCGCUCUGGUGGCGCCCGCGCCGGCUGGAGGCGCACUUCGCGCGGCAGGGCGUGCGCGGGCCGCCGUACCGCUUCCUCCUGGGCUGCGUCACGGAGAUGGUCGCGCUCAUGGCGGAGGCCGCCGCGAAGCCCAUGUCGCCGCCGGACUCGCACGACGCGCUCCCGCGGGUGCUCGCGUUCUACCACUACUGGAGGAAGAUCUACGGUACGCAUACGCAAACGCAUGCGCUACGUUCUUGUCGAGAUCGUCGUCGUUGGUUCUUCGCUUGUUGUCCGGCUCUGGAGCUGAGUGACAUAUAUUAAUGGCGGCUCCGGCGGCUCGUGGUGGCGCAUGCAGGACCCAUGUUCUUGAUAUGGUUCGGGCCGACGCCGCGGCUCACGGUGGCGGACCCGGAGCUGGUCCGCGAGGUCCUCCUGACACACGCCGACGCGUUCGACCGCUACGAGGCGCACCCCGUCGUCCGGAAGCUGGAGGGACAUGGCCUCAUCAGCCUCCACGACGACAAGUGGGCGCUCCACCGCCGCGUCCUCACCCCGGCCUUCUACCCCGACAACCUCAACGUACGCGCACACCGCUCUGUUUCUCUCUCUCUCUCUCUCUCGGUUGCUUUAAUCUGAUGAUCGCUGUCGGCAAUCAAUUCAAUGGUGGCGCGACACUGACACGUGCCCUGUCCCUUCCCGCGCGCAGCGGCUGGCACCGCACGUCGCCAGGUCGGUGGCGGCGCUGGCGGAGCGGUGGCGGGCCAUGGCCUCCGCCGCCCCCGGAGGCGAGGUGGAGCUGGACGUGGCGGAGUGGUACCAGGCCGUCGCCGAGGAGACCAUCGCGCGCGCCACGUUCGGCCGCAGCUACGACUCCGGCCGCGUCGUGUUCCGCAUGCAGGCGCGCCUCAUGGUCUUCGCGUCCGAGGCCUUCCGCAAGGUCUUCGUCCCCGGGUACAGGUUCUUGCCGACCAAGAAGAACCGGAUGCAGUGGAGCCUGGACAGGGAGAUCAGGCGGGGACUCGUGGCACUCAUCGGCAACCGCAGCAUGGAGGCCGCGCGUCAAGACGAAGACGAGGACGACGCCGAACUCAACGACAAGGGAAGCAACGGCGGCUUCCGGGACCUGGUAGGGUUCAUGAUCAAUGCCAACGACAAGAAGACGAAGAAGUCGGCGCCGGCGAUCCCCGUGGAGGACAUGCUGGAGGAGUGCAAGACGUUCUUCUUCGCCGGCAAGCAGACGACCACCAACCUGCUGACCUGGGCCACCGUGCUCCUCGCCAUGCACCCGGACUGGCAGGAGCGUGCUCGCCAGGAGGUCCUCGCCGUGUGCGGCGGCGCCGACGAGCUCCCGUCCAAGGAGCACCUCCCCAAGCUCAAAACGGUACGCCAGCUCCAGCUCCCCGUUGCACGUUUCUUUACAUUUGCAGUCCCUUUCCCAGUGGGGGCAUUUCGGUAACUCCGCAACGACAAAAAGUCUCACUUUGUUUGUUCCUCCCUCUCCCCUCGUUGUCUCUCUCUCUGACACACACAGCUGGGGAUGAUCCUGAACGAGACGCUCCGCCUGUACCCGCCGGCGGUGGCCACGAUCCGGCGCGCGAUGCGCGACGUGACGCUCGGCGGCGUGUCCAUUCCCCAGGACACCGAGCUGCUGAUCCCGAUCAUGGCGAUGCACCACGACGCCGCGCUCUGGGGCCCCGACGCCGCGCAGUUCAACCCGGCCCGGUUCGCCGCCGGCGGCGCGGCCAAGGCGGCGUCGCACCCGCUGGCGUUCAUCCCGUUCGGGCUCGGCCCGCGGAUGUGCAUCGGGCAGAACCUGGCGCUCCUGGAGGCGAAGCUCACGCUGGCGGUGGUGCUCCAGCGGUUCCACCUCGCGCGGUCGCCCAGCUACGUGCACGCGCCCACCGUUCUCAUGCUGCUCUACCCGCAGUACGGCGCGCCGGUGAUCUUCCGGCCGGUGACGACGACGGAGACGACGGGACCACCACCGUCCUGAUGUGAACCAUGUCCAUACGACGUACUACUAAGCUACCACUAGUGAAUAGUAGUGUGAUAGUAGGGAACAGAAGAGCCAAGGAAACCACUAACAAAAAAAAAGAAGCUUGUCCUGUCGUGGCAUGGCAUGGCCGGUGGCGGGACGCCCGGACCCGGACCCGGACCGGACCUCCCUGCUUUCUGGGCCGCCGGCCGGUUGGUUAGUUGCCGGAAAUGCCCCCCGUUGGUAGAGUAGAACAAGACCGGAACCGGAGCAGAGAGAGUCUUGGACUUGACGAUGGCGUGGAAGAAGACCAACAAACCAACCCCACAUCUGCUGUCGGGUCGGUUCCAUUUGUUGGCUUCUCCUUCCGUGGAUUCUUUCUCGCGUGUGUGUGACUGUGUGCAGCCGGAUCGGAGCUACCGUCGUCCAGCUAUGCAUAUGUAUGUGUACAGGCUUGUAUUUGUUUGUUUAUUUAUAUAUAUAUAUACCUACACAAAAUUAAAGUUUUGUAAGAUGGGAUUGAUUGGAAGGAGAGAGUCCAAAAAAACAGCGCAAAAGGAAAUGGGGACGGGAUCGAUCGAUAUUUGUUCGCGUUGCGUUGCACGCGGUAUUCCAUUCCGCGCAGGCGGCGCAGUGUUGUGAUCCGCUACUUUUUUUUGUUUUUGCGUGUGGUGUGGGCGGUGCGUGUCGGGUGCCCGCGACAACGCAAUUCGAUGGAGAAUCCGCUGGGUGCUACAGGACCGCGCCGGCCCUUUGCGCUGUCUCGCUCUCAGCUGCCAGGUACAUUAGAUAGAUGCUAACUGAAAUCUCCUGUAGCUGGUGUAUCCGUACUACUAGUAGUAUAGUACACACACCAUCGCGUGGCGUCGGGUGCCUCGUCGCCAGCAUGCAUCAUCUCUGACGCUGAUAAGCACUCCCAGCAAAGGCCCCUCUCCUCCAGCGAGCUCUCAACGCCUCUACCAUGCAUAGCUGAAUCUAUCACUGUCGAGAGUGUCGACCGCCAGCAUGCGCAUUCUCUGAUAUACCAUCGUUUUCACACAUCUAGUAGCUCGCUUAAGGCCGUUUUCGUGAAGUGAUUCAUAACAUUAUUUUUAAAAAGCUAGAUUAAAAAAAUAUUAUUCUUUCUUAUAUAUAUAUAUAUAUAUAUAUAUAUAUAUAUAUAUAUAUAUAUAUAUAUAUAUAUAUAUAUAUAUAUAUAUAUAUAUAUAUAUAUAUAUAUAUAUAUAUAUAUAUAUAUAUAUAAUUUCAUGACUUAUCUAGAUCUGAAAACCGAAUCAAUUUCUACUUUGCUGCCUUACCAAUCUUUCUAUGUUAGUCCGGGAGCAAACUCCUGACAGCAACAUGAUGUUGCCUUGUAGCCUCUAAAACAUGCGAGCCGUUUUGGCCUAAAAUAAAUAGUUUUCUAGGUGGGGAUCGCCUCCCCCGUUGACCCUAAAAAAAACCGAAUCAAGAGUGUUUUAUCUUGCUUCUUUUCUCUCUUCGUAAAAACUUGUCAUUUCAUAAAAAAAUACUUAUGUCACAACCUAUUAUAUAUAGAUAGAACUUUCAUUGCGACUGGUCUAAUUACCUCUCGCUAGCCACCAUUAUCUCCUAGCAAUGUUGCCACCACAGUGCAGGUGCUUCUUUUGCCCGGUAGACUUUUGUUACAUAUCCUUCCACACCACCCUAAAAUUUAAUCUCACAGAGACAUUGCCUAACGCGAGGAAGAAGAGAGGGCCAACAAGAAACAUAAACCACACCAAAGGAUUGAAAAACACAACAUAUAUGGAACAAAACUAGUCAUUCGUCCCCAGCACAAAACCCUGAGUGUAGGAUUAAGCAAAUUCAGUUUUUCUUUAUGAAAAAAAUUGAGCAAAGGUUUACAGAAAAGUUUUGAGAAAGGCGACACGUCACACGUGAAGUCACAAAGACUACAUAAUUCCACCACAAGCCUUGUUUAGUUCGUGCACUGUGGUGGCCUACAGAAUUCUGCCACCAUAGUACAAUACUGAGGCUAUGUUUAGUUCACGAAAAAUUUUUGGUUUGAUUGUUGUAGCACUUUCGUUUGUAUUUGACAAUUAUUGUCUAACGAUAGACUAACCGGUUCAAAAGAUUUGUCUCGCAAAUUACAGACAAACUGUAAUUAAUUUUUUUAUAUAUUUAAUACUCUACAUGUGUUCAAAGAUUCGAUGAGAUAAAAAAUCUUGAAAAUUUUAAAAAAGUAAACAAGGCCUGAAUUGCAUCAUUAUUUUUUUGGGUUAACGAACUCUGUUGCAUGGCCGUUUUUGGUAAGCGACUGGUUUUUAUUACAGGUAGGCUAUAACCGGAUCCAAUACGGACGGAUCAUUACUAGUUACAGUUACCGGUAACGCUGUGCGUGUGAAGAGCAGGUAAAGUUGAGUUGUUGCAAUUAAUUGGUGGGGCGUGUAUGUACUCCGUACAGUAUACCACAAAAACCAUGCAUGCACUGAUUCGUUUGUGCGUUUCCACCAGAUUUGUACCGGAGCGGCGCGUUGCGUCCCGAACGGGACGCGCCGAUGUGAAAUGUCAUGUUUUAUGCUUUGCACAAGCAAACAAACUCCGUUUUCUGUCACUUCACCUCCGCCGGGGAACAAGGCCGGAGGAGAGCUGGAGCGCGAGGACAUGGGAAAGGACGCUGCGUACGCCGGGGACGGGGAGAUUAUUGGGGCCUGGAAUCCGGAUCCAUCCGCAGCGGCCUGACGCAUGCCUGCCGUGACCGGUAAAAUCCGCAUGCAGAGACCGGCCGGCGCCGCGGUCACGGACGGACCCGUGGCGGUAGUAGUAGUAGUACGUCCAAACACCCAGCCAGCAGCCACUCCGGCCGGCCAGCAGCGCUGCGCUCGGACGGGACGGGACGGGACGCGCAAGCGGCCAGGCGACAUGGGGUGGCCUGGCCGACGACGACGCGCCGGCGCAAGCAGCUAGGCGCCACCAAAUCCGGCGGGGCCGGCACCGGGCGCGGUCAUGUCCCGCGACGCGCGGCUCCCGCUGCGAGACACGCACCGGGUUCCCCCUCCUCCGGCCUCCCCUUCCCUGGCGUGCCGUGCCCGCGGAGAGACCGGACCGGGGGACCCCGGCCAGCAGCCGCCCGGCCCAGCGAGCCCCUGCCGGUGCCGCGGCAUGUGUUCCGCAUGCGCAUGCGGUGAUCGCUGAACAUCGCUGGGGCGCGGCUGGCUUUUGCAUCCGUCCUUGUCGUCGCGCCUGGCGGCUAGUGACCUCGGACAUCCGAUCGAGAUCGGGGGCCGGGCGCUCGGCAUCGCAAGGCACGGCCGGGUGGCGCCCGCCGUCCCGGUGUCCUUCCAUAUUAUUAUUCUCCCCGAUCGCGGCCGGACGGAGGACGUGCAGUUUUCGGUAGGUUGACCGUGUGUUACGUUGCUCUCGAGAGUACUGACGACGACCAUCGCGCGCGUGACCUGAACGCGUGGAAAUGAAGCGUCCAAGCAAGCAGUCGUCGCCGUGACAGAUUGUUCGCCGGACUUUCCGAGGCUCUGAUCGGCAUGCAGCUUGCGGGCGCGUCAGCGGUCGACGAUCGACCCACCAGGCAGGAAAUAUAAGUUUCAGGAGGAAAACGAGCAGAAAGGUGACGAAGAAAACGCGCCGAUCGAUUCGGUUUCGAGUUAUUUGACCUGCCGCCGUAGCGGACCCGGCCGGCCGACCCGGCCAGCGACCAGCCUCUAAUUCCAAUGGAUGACGCUAGUAAUAUAGUACACGUAUACGUACGUACGUCGUUAGUCUUUUUGUUCGUUGCCGAGGCUGUUGAUUUUUGUACCUGAUCGCGAUGCUGUAGACCGAGUUUUCUUCACGAGUCGUCGAUGGUGAGUGCGACGGGUAACAUCUCCUGCGUUUUCUGUUGCCGAACAAGUCAAUACGCCAAGAAAUUUUUGUCGUGCGACUUCCAACAAGCUAGGCUAUGACUAUUUCCGAAAAAUUUGCUAGGUACAGUAGCUCACAUUCUGCGACUGACAUGUGAUUCUGAGUUGCACCAAACAAACUUUAGACGCUAUAUUAUAUUUGUUGGUGCAUGCAUGGAAAUAGAAACCAGCAUGCAUGGUUUCAGAAUCAUCCGGCAUGAUACUGCUAUAUUUCUGAAAAUCUGAAAAUAACUGUGUCUAAGAAAGACAAACGAUUGUGAUGAAAAGAAAACGUACUGAUUACUACUGACAAUAUAAGCUUGUACCGGAUCUUGUAAAAAUAAUGAUGGUUCUAGCCUGCUGCUAGAGCUCGUGGAACAGCUAUAGGUAAAACGUGUUACUAGGAGAUGGACGACGUUAAAUCUCCAAGCUACUAUUACAUCCAGAUCUCUGCUCAACCACACAGUUCGCUACGACGUAGAAUGCAGAAUUUACCCACAAGUAUAUAGGUUGCUAAAAGACGGACGGUCCCAAGACAGACAUCGGCUGCCGUUAUCUGCAUGCCUGCCGCCAGCCACCAAGACUGACCGGCAAUGGAGUAGUACUACGUACUGUACUAGUACUGAAGCUAACGCGAGUUGGUAAAGUUUAAUUUAUAUCGCAUCGAGUAUUUAGAUAUAUACAUAAAAUACUAAAUAUAAAUUAUUUAUAAAAUUUAAAAUACAGCUACAGACUAAUUUACGAGAUAAAUUUUUUAAACCUAAUUAGUUUAUAUUUAGACAAUAAUUAUCAACGAAAAUAUUUUAAUACAUAUUAAAUUUUAACACCGCGAACCAAACAACCAAACACUCCCUAAGCAGCAGUGUAAAUCACUGGUCCAUUCCGUUCGAUCCGGGCAUCAAUAAUGAUUGACCGGACAGAGGGGAGCACUGUGCCCAGCCGGCCCACUGCCAUCGAAGAAGCCCGCUGCAGUGCUGUCUCAGUCUCACUCAGCAACGCGGCGGCUUGAUUUGCAGCACGCGCUGGCCUUCCCUGACCAAAUUUUACCAUAGCCUAGUUCACAUCAAAAAUCAAAAAGUUUUCAAGAUUUCGCGUCACAUCGAAUCUUGCGGCACAUGCAUGACAUAUUAAAUAUAUAUAAAAACAAAAACUAAUUACACAGUUUAUCUAAAAAUCACGAGACGAAUCUUUUGAUUCUAAUUAGUUCAUGAUUGGACAAUAUUUACCACAAACAAACGAAAGUGCUACAGUAGCGAAAUCCAAAAACUUUUCGUAUGUAAACAAGGCCCAUGUGAGGAAGAGCGCUGGCCUUUCCUUGGCAAUGGGCAAUGCACUUUGUGAUACUGUGAUGUGCACAAGAAAGGGAAGACAUCGGAUGACUAUCAGAUUAACUGCAACUAAUAAUGUUAAUUUUAAGUAGUAACUUGCAAUGCAUACAGCCAUCAAAUUAACAUGCAGCAGGGACCUCCUCUAGAGGCUAUUAUCCUAUCCAAUAGUUUUACCACUAGCUUAGCUAUUUUUUGGGAGGUUAGGAAAAAAAGUGUUAUAUAUAUCCAUGGACGAGAUAUGAUUGGCCUUAUGGCCACUCCUUUUCUCUUAAUGAAAAACGAGUCUAUAUACCCGAUCGCAAAAAAAAAAAGAUAUGAUGGGCAAAAGUUUCAUAGUCACAUAUGUACUUCAACUGUUAUAUAUAGUCCUAGAGGCAUGUGGCACAGUAGGAAUAGGACAUGUUCUUUUGUAAGCUUCCUAAAUGUAGGAUUUAAUGCUGCAACUCUCUGCAACAGUGCUUCCUAUCCAUGUGACUCAAUUCUGAAAUAAUGCGUUGUCAAGACCAAUGUAUUUCAGCAAAUCUUAGGUGCUCUCUCGACAUAGUGAUCUGAAAAGGUUCAUUUCAAUCCCUACGCUGGUAGACACCUCAUUAUCCCUUGUUUUCAAAGUACAAACAAUCUUUUUUGUGGCUAAAACACGACCAGACCCCCAAGCCCCAACCCACCCACCAGAUCAAGCAAAAGCUUGGCCAACUGGAGUUGAUAAGACUUAGGUACAAGGACUAAGAUUGACCCUUCAUUCAAAGGAAAACAUGACACACAACUUCUCACAGGAAAAAAAAGAAGCAUGGCAGGUAGGAAGCUAGAGAUCCCUUUUGGUGCCUUCAAGCAGCUAUUUCCAACGUGUGUGGUUCUCUCUUUUGAUUCUGAUGUGUCAAGCAAUGCCUACUUUCACCACCCUAGAAUUGUGCGCUGAGGAAACAUCUCAUACGUCUAGUUUGCCAGUCACAGUUGCAAUCCUAAAGCUUGGGUUUACAUUAUUGAAACAUGGCACAUAUUUAUAUAUGCAAAGCUGAACAAUGUAGUGUAUAGUACAUGUGUGACUCUCAUGAAAGAAAUAAAUGUUCAGAAUGAUAAGAUAUAUUGCAUGACAAACCAACUAGUGCAUAACUCUGAAAACAAGGAUGAUGAAUGAAAAAACAAUCCCCUCUAUAAUUAUUGUGAAAUAACUCGCAUACCAUACCACCAUGGAUUGAACUAUGCUAUGAAUGAAGAUGAGAACAAACUUGUACCAACAACUGUCCUCGCUACUCCAAGCGGACGCCCCAUUCCCUUCUGCCUCUAGAUCAUGUGGCAGUCCCAUGACUCUGACGUGAAACUAGCGAGACGUAGCAUAUCAUCAUGUGUAAUUAAGGGCCGAGUUGGUAUGAGUUCUGAAUUCUGAACUCCAAUACACGCAAUCAUCUGCGAAAGAAACUCAUGGUCCAGUCAUGAGGAUGAAUUAAGGAGAUGCAUUGGGAAUGAUAAUCAUGAGAUAUUUGUUGCGGGAGAGGCCGCAUGCUUCGUCAUGGCUAAUAACCACACCAAAAUAAGGACAACUUGGUACGACUAACUGAUCUACUCUCUAUUAAAAAGAACUGACAAACUAAGGCAUUAAUAGCCCUGCUCGAUCCAAGGACAAGUAUUUAUCUUGACCAUUCUUACUUUAUGUUAUCAUCAGCACAUGAUAGAAAGUGCACAAAAAAUAGUUGUAGGCAUGACAUGUCCUGACAUAGUGACACUAAGUACAACCAAAAGGGCUGGAAAGAGCUGGCAUGGGGUUACCGACAAAAUGGUGGUUGACCAUGGUUUAACUUAUUUGCUAAAUUGCAGUAUCAAAAUCACCAUGCCGAUGCUUGUUGUACUAUAUAAAUACAGUAAUACGUCACAUGCCCAAAUAGCUAGUACAACACAACUUAAUUGAUAACAUGACUCAUACUUCAGUUGAGAAUUUGUUUACUGGUACUGAUUCCCUAGCCUAUAUAUGGGGUAGCUUAGCCUAGAUUCUUGCUUAUCUUUCACCAAGGAACACAUGCUGCGUUGACAAGAAAUUAAUCACAAGGACGACAUUGUACAUUUAUAUAUACUCUGAGGCUAAACACAAAGAUCUAUAUAUGCGCCUAUGAGGCUAUGAGAGUAUGAGUUGGAUGAAUCAUUCAAUGAUUUAAUGGUAUCACAAGAACAUGGAGAGGUAUCAAACCUUUGCUUACCUGCUUGCUAAAUUAACGUCUCAAUUGUUAUUAGGAAACCAUCGCCAUCAGUAAAUUGUCAUCAAAAUAUUUUGGAGUACUAGAGCUGGUUGAGCAGUUAGUACGUGAUGAUACACGUGAUCUGCAUUACCAUCGCACAUCCACAGAAUCUGGUUCAUUGCUGUGACACACGAGCUGAUGACCUUAACUGAAACCUGAAAGCCAGAGCUCCGUUAUUGCAUUGCUAAAGGAGCAUUCCUCCCUUGUGUGUCAGCACCAUAGCCCCAGCACAACCAUGGAAAUCUGCAGCUUCUAAAGAAGUGUUAAUAGUCGUAGAGCUUCACAGAAAGUCAAGAACAUCAUAACAAAGAGUAGCAGCUCUGGUAGCACAAUCAUCAUGCAUGUAACAUAAUCAACACUGCUCCGGAAGCAAUCAGCUGAUCGGAUUCACAAAGAAUCAGCCAGUCAGAUGACAAACGCCACGGCUUACAACGAUCAUCAUUUCGUUCCAAUCAAGUGUGUAAUCAUAACAGCAGCAGGCAGCAGCCUCUUGAGUGUUGAUCCCUAUCUUGAUGCCCAUCAUCACAUGCCGGCCGGGCACAUGGCAAGAUAGGGACGAGGGGGGUUCGUCAGAAACAUCAGUUGCUCCAAAUGGGCCGGUGAAGUGGAACUUAUCAUGGAUGUAGCUAGCUAGUAACGAAAGCUAGAAACAGUACUGCAGGUCCACACUCCACAGCAGCACCUCGUAAGUUUCUUUGUUGCCUUGUGCCGUACAUACCUCGCCACUGAUCCAUCGGUAAAAGCAUGUGUCCCCAUGAAUGCAGUUGGCUGCUUGUGUUAAUUCCAGCAGCUGAAGUAAGCAAGCAACCCAACCCCAAACGCCGUGACGUCCGAGAAAUUUACAUGUAGAUAUAGGCCUGCUGCGCAUAGGAUGGUGGACUACUGGACUCAUCAGUAAAGCCAUAUGCGCCAAUGGUUAACUGUAAGUCUGUAAUGGUUAGAGUACAAGUAGAUCGAGAGGUUAAUCUUUCGAACAAUAUGAACUUGGUGCAGAGACUGAGGCUGGGGAAUUUACGUUGAGACGACGAAACCCUUCCUUGGACAGAUGUUGCAGUGCUGGCUCCUCACAAACGGCCAGCGUUGCCAGCCACAUUCCUGCAGUACUGACGGAGUGUACUCUGCAUGUGCAGUGCAGUGCAGAGCAGCAGAAGCCAGAAGGAUAUUGGCGCUGCUGCCAUUCUGUUCUGCCAUGGCUGGCAUCAAUGCUUGUUGCUGGGCACAACAACAAAGCCUUUUGGUGGUUCAGUAGUGGUAGUGCCCAGAGCAUCAGCAGCCAUCCCAGGCCCAUAGCGCACUGCAAACUGCAAAUGCGGCACGGGUCAGCACUGAGGAAGGAGUGAGUUCGUUAGGGUGGUGGCAGCACUGCGGGUCUGCACUCUGCAGCGACGACAUACCGAUCAUUAUGGCUGACGACGUUGUUUGUCGUCGGCGCGGCAGCGGAGGGGCAGAUGGGCACCACCGGGAACCGGGACCGGGACCGGAGCGGCAGCCUGGUCCCCGACCCCGCGCCGCUGUCGCCGGAUCCCGCGCCGGCGUGGCCCCCCCUGCUUGCUUCUCUGAAUCUGCUGCUGGAGAAUGGGGAUAUAAUAGUACUUGUCAGCUUGUAGAAUUGGCUUGGCUUGUUCUUGUUCAUCUCACAUGCAGGCUGCCGACUGCAGAGCCUUACCGGAACAGGCCCUUCCACUUGGCUCGUUUACUGGCCUUGGCUUGCAAGGGCGAUGCCCAAGGCUCUGCUGCAAUCAAAUGCGUACAUGAUCGAAAGCGGAAACACCAUCAGAUGAUCAUCACUUGAUGAAAGAAAAGAAGAAUCAAGUAGUAGGGUGAUUUCAUCAGGUUGAGUACAGACAACAGGAUGGAUGACGUUGCAGCUAGAAGCAUCAUACUUCCGUGUGAUCUUCUAAUGCUUGAUUGAACACAGCAAUUUCAGGUCUUCUAAAGCUUUUUGGUACUCAAGGUCUAGUGGGUUUAGAUCCGGUUCAGCUACGUGGGCCCAUUAGCUGUAGGCUUGUAGCUCAGGCCUACGAAGUUUGUACCCAUUCAGACUUCAAAAACUGGUAUAUACUGAAAUCUCAAUGAUUCACUAUUACAAAGACACAGAUCUGACGGCAAUCUCGCUGUCACUACUUUACAUUAUGGGAAAUGUUCUCUGUCACAGGCGCAAAACUGUUUGCUUGAGCUUAACAGCCGAAUCUGCAAGUCAUUCAGCGGUGUUUUUCUCUCAUAACAAAUCAGCCAACAGUACUUUCUGUCAUAACUUAUCAGCCAAGAGUACUUUCUGUCAUGACUUAUCAGCCAAAUAAACAACGAGCAGAAUUUCUAAGACCAAUAACAAGGUACAUUGUUAUUAGAAAAAUAACAAGGUACAUGAAUUUCCAAACACACGAACAGCAUUAAGUUCAAUGGGAAGUAAAGAGAUCGAAGGUACAUCGUCCUACACCAUGGAGAAAUUUUUCAAUUGUACUUGACUAUAAAAUAAGCUUCUCGCUUGCUCAUCAGAACCACAAGGUCCUAGCCACUUCUGAAAAUAUGUGAUUGUAUGUCUAUCCAUUGUAUUUCAAUCAUGUUCCUUCAACUGCACAACAAUCAAACUUAAGUGACAUGGUACACCAAGUAAAAAAAUUGAAGGGCAGCUGGCUUUAGAACAAAAGUAAGGUGGCCAAAUAGUUGUCUAGCAAAAUAAGUCUCAUAUAGUCUUGCUGAUCUGACUGGCGCAUAUCAUAUUUCAUGAAGAACACCAGCUACAAUAUCUGGAUUACAAAACACUACUAGAACAGAUAAAAAGGUAUGCAUCAUGACGACUAGCAAAUUACUGUACAGACAUACCUGCAAGUUUUCCUUGAUGCAAGGCCAGACCAUGUAAUCCCAACAUUUUGUCUGUACAUGGAAAUCGGCUGCAAGUCCUGAACUAGGUCACAUUUGUAUGCUUUUAUUACAAAAUUCCUAGUAAAAGAGCCUUCCCUACUUCCACAUAUGCCAGCAUACCAGGUAACAUACUGCAUUGAAAAUGAAACGAUUUCUCCAAAAAGAAAACAUCAGACAGGGGAGGGCAUGCACUAAAUCGUUUCACACCAUUUCACCUCAAUCGUUUCUUUUAACCUAAUAAUAACUUCCGAUUAUAGAAUUGCAGUGUACAUCAACCUACCCAGGAGCCAAAAUGAACUUGCGCUGAUUGCACACUGAAAGCUCAUAAAGCCAAAAAUUGUUCAUGAUUGUCCUUUGUAAUAACCAUGUGAUUAUUAAAAUCUUAUAAACAAACAAAUUAAAUUACAUAUCCCAGGCUGAAUAUCUGUCUGCAAUGGGGAGAUAAUGGAAAGCAACGAUUUAGCACAUGAGAAUCUGGACCAAUUUCUAAUUACACGUAUUAACUUGCGCACUGUAAAGCAUUUUCCCCAGUUGCAUAAGAUUCAAUCUAUGCAUGGAGUACUCUAUUUAAGCAUAGGUAUGACAGUGAACACCAAACAGUAUUUUUUUUAAAAAAAAAAGCAAAUAAGCAGUAAACAGUUCUUAAAAGGCCCAAGUGUUCAAACAUGUAAAAGCAAAACGUGGAACACAGUCAUUGUGGAUGUGGUCACUUACAAAGAUCUUCAAAUAUAUUUCAAGAACAUCUGGGAUAUUAUUAUUCCAUUAUCUAACAAAGACUUAAAAUGUAUGUUGUAUGAUGAUAGGCCUUCAUGGAACAGCACCCUUGUCUUGAUGCAAGACUCUUAGGUGAACACCCAUAAGCACAAGAUAGCUGGUUGAGGUAUUAAGGGGCUGGCUGCUUGGUUGCUCAUCCAUCUCCCCUUGCUUAGCUCACACAAGCCACGAGGAUCUUGCCCGUUCAGGCAAGCCAAAUUGGCUCACUCACAGUAGCAAGGAAAAUCUUAACAGUGCAUAAUCAAUAUGUCCUUGCCGGACAACCAAUUAAGCUGUGUGCUCCGAAUCCUUGCUUGGCGAGGCUACACAGUAGCCAGCAAAGGUACCAAACGGCCCCAGUUCUAGUCCCUACUCCAUAUUUACCCAUAUAACUUUUUAGUCAAAACAAUCUGCAGUCCGCAACAUAUAUGUCUUGAAUAUUUCUGAACUUCAACACAACGAAUCUAUGAAGUCUAUGCAAUCUGCAGUCGAUAACAUAUAUCUUGAAUAUUUUUUAACUUCAACACAAUGAAUCUUUAAAGUCUAUUCAAUUGACCUAUAAUUCCCUACCUAAACAACUGUUGUUUUUGUGCUGAAGGUAGGUACCAAUUGCAAUUUAACUUACUGAUAUUUUGAGAGCUGUUUACCAUAAAUCCAUAUAAUAAUACAAAAAUACAGCUAAGAUUGUUGGUUGCUUUAUUACAUGGAAAAAUGUGUAUCAGUGACCAAUAUAUAUUUUAGUUUACCUUGUCACUAUCAUUCAAAUCUCCCCCCUCAAAAAAAGGAUUUAAAUAAAACCAAGAGUUCCUCCUCAAAAAAGGAUUUAAACAAAACCAAGAGUUCCAGUAGCACUUACCAAAGAGGAAAUAUGCUUGUUCUGUGAAAAAUCACACAACAAACAGAUCACCUUUUUGUCUCUGGAUCAUAAACCAAUCCAAUUUGACCCUUUUAUCCAGCAACCAGUACUAAUCUGGAACCACAGUCUUGGCCCUGCUUGACCUUAAUUAGGAACAAAAAGAUCAAAAUAAAUAUUUGAUACAAGUUUGAGGUGAGCACAUACAAGUAGCCACACGGGGCAGCCCUUUUGUGUUAUUAUACUUAUAUAAUUUAUAAGUAAAUCAAACUGAGUGCUCCUUAGGCCUUCGUUUAUUUGCGAGCAUAAGGUAUGACAGCUCACAUGGAAACUACUAUCUAUUAAUGUUGCAAUGAAGUAUCAUGGCAACUUAUAAAAGCAACGCACAAGAGAAUCCUAUCCUAGAAGAAAAAAUAUAAUGAUCCUAAAAGCAAAAGGAUAUUGAAAAUAAAUUUAGUACCAAUGGAAGUUCAAUGGAAGUGUUGCCACAUCUAUCGCACUGCAAAACAUGUGGCAGACUCCUCCAUCUACAAGAACCUAUGGAAGGAUGCUUUAAAAGCCUCCAACCUUGGCCCUGGAAAGUUCAUGAGAAGUAUCAGAUUUCCUUUCCCCAAACUUUUGCUGUUGCAGAAUUGAACAAUACUAAAGUCGAAGUGCCCAUGUACAACAGCUGCUACUAAAUUAACAGCAAAAAAAGCAUUACAAAUUAGUUAGCCCACUAGGCAACACAUGUCAAGAGAUACAGAUAUUUCACAAUCCAUACUCACAAUUUUUCACCACCUUUCGAGACAAGUAUAGCAUGACUAUAAUAAAAGCAUUUACACUACAAAGACAAUCAUGUGCAAAACAAAACUCCCUCAAGGAUAUUCGUACUUAUAUUAUAUCUUGAGAAUUGAGCUUGUACAUGCUUUGAUCAAAACAUUGCAAGUUCAGUCAUCAAUAAUCACAAACACAAUCAAGGAGACAAGGACUAUUGGUAGAGUAGUACAGUGUUAAACAUCAAAACAAGCUAAUGCAAAGAUAAAAAACAGAGGUGUUUCAGACUUUCAGUAUGAAAAACAUUAAUACUUCGAGAGACUGUCGCAAAAUUUCAGGAAUCUUGAGAUAUCUAUAGUACAAAAAUUUCCAAUCGACUCUUUUCACAAGUAAAUUCUACACAUGAAGUACACCAACACCUCAACCCUUAAUGAGAUUUCCCAACUUACAAUAAUAUGAAAGAUAUGAAAUGUCAACAGGAAAGUAACAACAAAAGCUAUCUGGAAGUAACAGCAUCGGUAACCAAACUCCUUAAUUCAGCUAGAUGUUCAUCAGUUGAGAUGUUCAGUGUUAACCUUAGGUUAGUCAACAAAGCCUCUUGCUCCCAGCUAAUUGACCCACAAGCAUACAAGGCUAGCAUUGUUGCACGAUAAGCAUGUAAUUCCAGUAAAUGGGUUUCUUCCCUCAAUCCAACAUUAUUAUGUUCUGAUGUUUCUCUUUCAGAUGUAGAAGCUUCAUCUUCAUCAGUUCUACUACAGGUAUCUCCACUUUGGCAGACCAAAUUAUAAUACUGUGAUCUAUGGGGGGUACUGUUAGGACUAGAACUACCAACAGAAGAUGAGAUACUCUCUGUGUCACUAAAUUCUUCAGUUGUUCUAGUAUGCCCUUUAUGACUAGCAUGCAUGUAUUUCCCGCCCAGCAUAAAGCAUGGGGAAUCGACAGCAUCUACCUUUUCAGCCAAAGGGAAAAAACCUCUAUCAGCCAGCUUUGAGUGCCUUCCAUCUCUAUUUGGUGUCCGCAAUCUCUUAGUAAUUUCACUGCAUUGAGGAUGUGUUGAUAUAGCAGACGAUUUUCUCUUCAUGCCUCUAGAUGUAUCACCCUCAAAAGCAUUCUGGUUCUCAAGUUGAAUAUGCCUGUCCUUUCUCAAGUUGCAGUCUAAAUUUCCGUCUUUUGAUCGACCUCCGAAUGCACCACCGUUCAAGCAUCUUGCGGAAUACUGAAAAUGAUUGGAAGACAAGUCUCAUUAGGAUCUAGGGCAUUCCAUUAAUACUUGAUGAAACAAAAUCUAACUGCUCAUGGGUGAACAUCAAAGAACCACAAAAUUAUGGUAUUAGAUUUUAUUGAAAAUGCAACAGUUAGACCAUUACUGCUUGAUUGAGCUAAUGUAUAUAAGUAAAAACAUCAUUCUAUUGAUCACCUAAGUCUAAUCAAAUUUGAGAAUUGAAGGAACAAAGCAUUACCUUCUGAGUCACAACCCAUCUGUCAUCUAGCCAAAGCUUCCUCAAUCGAAGAUCCGAUGAAUGUGCACUCAACUCCAGCGAGGACCCAAGGAGCCUGACCAGAUAUUGAUUCUUUCCGAGCACUCUCACCACCUCAGCAACCUUCCACGAGUAGCUGUCAAAGGCCUCAAGAAUACUACCCAAACUCCAGCGUACAGAAUCAUCCGCAGGAGGGCGAGGUCUCAUCAACCUUCUUGGCACCCUUUCAACAGCCACGCUAGAGUCAACGGGACUUUCAUCAUAUCUCACCAGAUAGGUGUGUCCGUUGCCGGAGAUGAUCUCACCAGGCCUCCACGAACCAAAUGGCACCUCUGCCUCCUGCAAUACCUCCACCUCGCUCCCCUUGAAGAAUCUCAUCAGAUCGUUUUGCUUCGAGAACUCUGUCGCAAACAAGAAAUAAAAGACAUUGUCAAUAGCCGAACAACUAAAUUAACGUGCAUCAAAACACAGCGAAUAAAUCAGACAAACAGGAGUCAAAAUACGAAGAUUUCCAACUUCUACAGGAGCACCCAAAAGAUUUUUUUGAAUGAAAGACAUCGCAUCCUUGACUACAACCGAGAAAGAAAUAGCAUCCUUGACUACCACCGAGAGCUGACAACAGAAUAUAACAGAUUAACGAGCGAAGGAGCCAUUGCAGCACAGGAACAUCAGCGCGUUGAUCCGUCACAAGAACAGAAGAACAAAAUCGAAGCGAAUCGCUUGGGGCUGUUGCAACAACAACAUGGCCUCGCACAUCCACCAGGAGCGGGGGCUUUGUAUAUGCAACGGAUUAAUCCCGAUUCGUUCCUCUGUCCAGAACUUUCGAUCUGAUUGUGAUCAUACUAGUAAGUAGAGAUCGAUCUACCGAACAAAUAAGUAUCCGAAAAAAAAAUGAUAAGCGAAGUUAGGAUCCUUACCAACAACAAACGGAAAGGCAAAUACAAUGCCAAUCGACUCGCCGGCGUGGGGGAGCGCGACUGGCUACCAGCCGUUCUUCGGCGGAACCACCGGAGCCCGACGACGGCUGCCGUUCUUCUUCAGACGAGGAGGCUGGCGGCGGGUUUCAGCGCGGCCGGGGCCAAGCGCGGGCGAUUCGACGAUUUGCCGCCGGAGAGAGAGAGAGGAGAGGAGCCCGCGAUGAUCCGCCAAGGCGCCAACGCAAGGAAUCGCUACCUACACGGGCACGGCGAGGAGGAUUUGACGAGCGGAGGAAUCAGGGGCCGAUUUCAAGAGCCGGAAAUAAGCAAAUUUUCAGUCGGUUCGUUUAUAUAUAUAUAUAUAUUAAAUAAAAAUCGAUUAAUUCGAGCUUGUGCGGCCGAAGCGGUUUAUAUACAGGGGGGGUCGGUCAGGGGGGGAGGGAUGGUGGUGGGCCCGCGUCGCGUUCCGAGUUCGAGGCGACAAGUGCCAGUCUCAUCACGGCUAUUGGGCGGUUUGGAUCGAAACGGAGCUUUGGGCCUCGGCCAGCCCAUCGCUUGUCGACCGUCUGUUUGGCGUUUGACGGCUGCGAUCCCUGGAUGGGUUUCUUGGUGGUUAUCUUGGGUCGUGUUUAGUUAAAAAAAAUUACAAAACCAGCGCUGUAGCAUUUUCGUUUGGUAAAUAUUGUUCAAUCAUGGAUUAACUAGGCUUAAAACAAAUUACAAGUAACUAUACAAUUAGUUAUUUUUUAAUUUAUAUUUAAUGUUUCGUACAUGUACUGCAAGAUUCGAUGUGUUGAAAAUUGUAAAAAAUUUUGCAAUUUUUUUGAACUAAACGAGGCCUUAGUUCAUGAGUUUUGUCAGGUGUGUGUGUUUUCCCCCUUGUCGAAAUUCAGUUAUUCACGUUUAACCUAGUUGCCCAAUUGUUUUUUUUCCCGGAGCAUGAUUUUAACCUAGCUAAGGAUGAUUGGUCCUAAAACUCAUAACCGAUUUUUGGGUGGCAAUGUGGUGAUUUAGUUGAGCGUGUGAUCUAUGAUCUUUUGCCAUAUUAAAAAAAGCUCUCUUCAUCAACUUCUAUAGCUAAGGACAAUGAUGAAAAUCGCAUGAGUAUCAUUGGCAAUGAUUGUUAUAUUCUCCUCGUUUCAAAAUUUAGCUUCCUAAUGACUUUGACCAGGAUUAUAAAAAUUAUUUCAUAUCUAUCAUAUAUCAAAUAAAUGUACAAAGAAUUAUUUCAUGAUAGAUUUGUAUGAUGUAGUAGAUGUUUAUAAAUUUUUUAGAAACUUUGUCACAGUUAGAGAAUGUUCGUGCACUUGAGGACAAAACCAAAUCGACCUAUAUAUAUUUCUUAAAAAAAUUGAGGGAGUACUUUUGAAUUAUCUACCAUGCUUCUUGUUACAUUUGUUGAUAGUCAAAGUCAUUGAGUUUUCCGUCAUUUAGAAACUCUUCAUUGAGUUAGGUUCCAUGUGAUGGAACAUAAUUAUCUAUCUCAACAUAAAUGGUGUUAGUAUCAUGCGACGUGUCCAUAGAGAUAAGACAUGUGUACUCCUUCCGUCCCAUAUUAUCUGUCGUCGGGGCGACAGUAGCGUGUCCCAAAAUAUUUGUUGUUGCCACCCAUUAGGCUGUAGCUGUGCCUCUGUACCGCACCAGGGAACCGACGAAUGCAUUCUUAUCUGUAUUGCAUGUUUAACUGUGAAAAGGUGAUGUGAGUGCUAAUUUGUUUAUUGUAAGAAAAAUGAUAUAGUGAGUAGCAUUGAUGGCAUGUCCAUCCAAUUGCACAGUGUAUUUAGGGGUGUCACGGUCUUUUGCCUUUCUCAUUGAUAACUAGGUUGAGCCUUCAACGACAAAUAAAAAGGGACAGCGGGAGUAUAUAUGUAUUUUUAGUACUUUUGUCUUUUUUUAUAAAAAACUAAAGAUAUUUAAAAAUGUAAAAAAAUCAAAUAGUUAGUUAAUUAGCAUAUGAUAUUUUAGGGACAGAACAUUCGGUGCAAACCAUCCAUUUAGUGCGGUUGUGAAAAAUUCUUAAAACACACAAUACCUUAAAGUUUUCAAAACUUUGAAAUAUAAACGCACAUGAAAUUCAUCAUUUUCUCAUUUUCAUAUGACGAUUAAGAAAAUGGUUUUGCAUUGUGUAUGUGCAUCAUUUCCGGGAAAAAAAGAACUUCUAAUGCCCAACUCAAGGGAGUUUACAGUUUACACGUGUUUUAAAGAAGACACUUAUCUUACCAGAGUACUAUCUUGCAUUCACAGUUUACAACUAGUAUUUCUCCUCCUCUAGUUUUCGUGGGCAUCAAGCAGCUCUAGCAAGUUGUCAUCUGCCCCAAAGCCCAAGCCAUACUCUCUCUCUUUUUUUUUCAUCCGGCGGGCAGCGCUAAUGGCUUGGCGGUCACGUUUUUGCCGCUGCCGUAGGUAAGCGUAACCCACCCUCCUCCGGCCUUUUCUCUCAAAUUGCCUUGUUUUAGUUCCGAAAUUUUUUUGGUUUUCGGAACUGUAGCACUUUUAUUUUUAUUUGACAAACAUUGUUCAAUCUUGGAGUAACUAGGCUUAAAAGAUUUAUCUCGCGAUUUACAGGUAAAUUGUGUAAUUAGUUUUUUAUUUUCGUCUAUAUUUAGUGCUCCAUACAUGUGCCGUAAGAUUAGAUUCGAUGUGACGGGAAAUCUUAAUUUUUUUUUAAAUUUUGGGUGAACUAAACAAGGCCUUAGCUGCUGCUCGCUUUGCUUGUUUACCUGGCUUUCAUAUUCCUUGCGUGCCGGAAAGAUGACCCAACAAAAGCAACGCAAGAACACAAUCUAACACAAAUCAGCACAUAAGGGACAACCUCUUUUCAUUACUAACAAAACAGUAUCGCUUAAAAAAGGGAUGCUCAAUUAAUUAAUAAUUAACAAUUAUAUUAUUCAAUAACAUUAUUUGUGGCCGUAGUGUAGUAGCUUUCAGGUCAUGGUUUUGGUUGGGUGCAGCGAGUGGCUGCCAUUGGCCGCACCGCGCAUCGCGUUUCUUUGGAGGCGGUUGUCCAUGAGAUUUAUCAUGAGGAGACACACCUCCUCCCAUUGCGAUUUGCAUUGCAUCGCUGAAAAUGAGGCGUGAAAAUCCGCCAGGGAUCGCAUGGGUCCCGGCCUCACCAAGUCAGAAAUCUUGGUGGUCAUCACGUGUCCAGUCCAGGCGCGCGGAUUUCGCUUCACGCGUGCAACAAGCCAGGCUUAUCUUAUCCCAUCGGGUGGAUUAGUGGAUAUACCAAGCUUCGUUCCAUCGACAAUUUCGUAUGUCAUCUUGGACAAGGGACAAGGCCCCUCUUUUUUUUUUUUGGGGUGGGUGAGGCCUUGUUUACUUUCACCCAAAAUUUAAAACUUUUCAAGAUUUUCCGUUAUAUCGAAUCUACGCAUGAGUAUUAAAUAUAGACAAAAAUAAAAACUAAUUGCAUAGUUUAGUCAGAAUUUAUGAGACGAAUCUUUUGAAUGUAUUUAGUCCAUAGUUGGAUAUUAAUUACCACAAACAAACAAAAAAUGCUAUAGCGUCGCGAAAUUGGUCGCUGUUCAGCGUAUUUAUGUUAGGCCUUGUUUAGUUUUGAAACUUUUUGGUUUUCCGUACGGUAGCACUUUCGUUUUUAUUUGACAAUUAUUGUCUAAUCAUAGACUAACUGGACUCAAAAGAUUCAUCUCAUAAUUUACAUGUAAACUGUGCAAUUAGUUUUUAUUUUCGUCUAUAUUUAGUGUUUCAUGCAUUUACCGCAAGAUUCGAUAUGAGGACUUAAAAAGUUUUUGAUUUUGGGGUGAACUAAACAAGGCCUUAAUCCCGUCGCGCUCUGUCACUCUCUGUCAAACGCAGAGAAAUUCGACGAUUGUAACGUCUUGUGUCCAAAGACCGUCUUAAAAUUUGACGAUAUCACGCCGCUCCCUGUCAUUCUCUGUCAAAAUGCAAGAGUACUACCGCACAACCAAAACGGCUGCAACCUCAGCUCAAGAAAUACCAUUUCAAGAUACUUCUUUUUCAUUCUGAUUAGAAAUGGAUGCCGUUUCAAAGCGGGCGUACUGGUUUUCGAACAGACGCGGUUUUACGUUUUGGAUAAUUUGGAAGCAUCACUUCCCACCAAAUUACCCUGUUAAUUAACUGUCGGUUGCUAUAUGGAAUACGUACAACUCGUGUCAAUCAAAAGGUUAAAUAACUUUUUUUAGAUAAGAAUCAAAAGGUUAAAUAUGUGCGAUAUAAAAGUACACAUCACAAAUAGUUUAGACUUAGGAAUUAGGAGGCAGAAUAUUAUCGCUAAUUCGUUUAUAUUUAGAGGGUGUUUGGAACUGCUCCACAAACUCUACUCCAUGAACUCCACCGUGGAGCAGCUCCACAAAAAACUGGAGUUUGUGAAGUAUCUUUUUAGGUGCUCUCACAACUUUACCCUUUUUCCUCGAACUGAGUGCGUGGAGCUGAAUCCGUUUAGCUAAAAAACGUGGAGCAGAAACAUGGAGCCAAACACACCCCUUAGAUGCGUAGAUCCGAUGUAAUUCAGUUCCACCUCUGAGCUAGCUCUGCAAAGCACAAGCUGGUGGAUUACAAAUACAGAGGUGCUUCUUUGAGGCAGAUACAAGCAAGCCAACGGCGAUUUGGUUGCGCUACCAAUCCUUCUCACGGGUCCAUGAACCCCAUUAGUUGCAGCCAUUUGGCUUGAUAAAAAAUAAAAAAUAGUCUUGUUCUUUAACAAUGAUUGGCCUCUGCUGGGUUUAGGUCCAAGCUCCGCCACUUUAUGAGACACUGACAUUCACAUGUAUACUUGUAUAGAAUGUCCAAAGAACAAACCACAACAUGUACAGAAAGAAUAUUAGAACAUGUACUGUAUGCAUAGUGUUGGGAAAGAAUACAUGUCAUUUGUAUACAAUAUGUAACACUGAGCCAAAUCAGCCCAACUCAGUAUGGCCUUAAAACUUUAAAAGAAUGUAUCCAAAAACCUGCUAGUAGAUGAACUGCUUUCUGUGCUAAUGCCCACCUAUGUAUUGCCUGAUAUGUCUAGCCUAACCUUUUUUUGUUUGUUUGUUUUCUUUCUCUUCUUUUUUUUUUGUUGAACACAUAACUCUUCAGUUGUAGUAGUAUAACAGAACCAGACUCAACCUGCCAGGUUCACUCCCGAUCCCCACUGAUUCUCAAUCUGUAUAUAUACAGCAAAAUUACUAACGUCAGAAAGUAUUUCAGCAGCACAAAAGAACAUUUCUAUGCAGAACUGUAUGGCUAGUGGUGAGUGACAGUGUGACACCAUCAAAUGCACCGUGGAACUUGAAAGUUGAAAGACUAUAACUGUGAAGGAAAGUGUGUGAGUGUGGACUGAUCCAAAUCAAUGAUGGUUUUCUAAAUACAAAUGUGAUUUCAAAAGACACUUUGAGCAAUGUUUUCUCUUCUGCGUCGCUGACAAAAAAAACUUUGAGCAAUGCCAAUACAAUUGAUGCGCAUUUCAAAAGACACUUUGACUGGUAACAGAAACCUAAAUCAAACCAACGAUUUUCUAAAUCAGUUCAUGAGUUUGGGACAGGGUAGCAGUAACAUGAAAAUGUGCAAUCCACCUCCUCUUGUAAGCAUUACAACUCUGCAAGAAUGCAUGUUCGGUGCAGAUAUUGUGCAAGAAGCAAACAUGCAGAAUAGAGGAAAUGAUGCAAACCAAUGCAGAAGCAAACAUGCAGAAUAGAGUAUAAUUGAUAUAGGAAAAGAGAUUGGAGACUGGUUGCUGCAAACAGGACAGUGGCCUGCAUUUAACAAUGUCGACAAACCUGAAGAUGCCCAUCUAUCAUACGCUAGCCCAUGUUCUGAGGGCAGUGGUGCCCGAUACUUUCCCCCCUUGGUGACAGCUAGGAAUUAAGGUUAUGUAUGCCUUCACAUUUUUUAGUGUGACCAGGUCACAAAGCAGAAGGAACACUUUCAAAACUGUAAUUAGAUUAAUUACAGAUCAAAAAUAUUUUUCCUGUGCCUUCAGAACUUGCAAGACUGAAACAGACCAGGAAAUUCAGUGGGAGCUACAUUCUUCAACUUCAUCUUCUUUUAUUCUCUUAGAUUUCUCACGCCCUUUCUCAAUAAUUUCGCAUGGUUAGUAUUGCAGCAGGUAAGAUGAAACUGAGAUGUCUAGCUCAUCGGCCUCCAGCUGAAUAAUCUCACUUCAUAAAAACCUCCCCGGGCAGGACGGAGCUCAAAUCACGAGCUACCGCCCGCCCCUAGGCAAUCGCCAAUUCGCCAUCGGAGAAGGCUCGGGUAGAAAUUGAGGGAGAGGAGGAGUAACAUUCUAGGGCGAGGGGAGUCUGAACCUUACCGAGGUAAGUGUGGGAGGAGGCGGAGAGCCAGAGGAGGAGGGCGCAGACGAGAAGCACCACGGGGAUACAGUGCACGGCGCGUCCCAGCGCCCGCGUCCGCGCCGCCUCCCGCCGCCCCGCCGCCGACAGCGGGUCGUACGUCGGCAGCGCCGCCUCGCUCCCGCUGACGACGACGCCGCUGUCCGACACGCGCGCCCCGCUCGACGAUCGCCUCAUCCCCGCGCCCGGCGAGACGGACGGUGGCCUCGGCGAGGAGAGACGCGGCCGGCGGCGACCACCGAGGCUGUGCUGGACGGGUCGGGCGCCGAGGCGGGGGGGGAGGGGGGGGGGGGUGGACUCGAUCCGAGGCAAAGCGCACGAGGAACGUGCGGCGGUGGGUGGACGACGCCGCCGCCGCUUGCCGCCGACGGUGCGCUGGGCAAAGGGGUGGGUGGGGUGAGGGUGUCGUGGUUGGGGAAGGGGGGGACGCGCGCGCUUGGACGACGCGACGCGGUGCUUUUGGUGCCGCGUCAGCGUUUGGCAGGCGCGCAGCUUCGCGCUGGCUCGAGCUCGACUACGCUCGGGGUGGCCCCCAUCCUGGAAGCGGUCUUCUACUCCCUUCCGCGUCGCGGCCACGGACCGUGCUUCUCUUUGAAAAAAAAAAUUUUACACGUUCAUGAACAACAUUAACGUGUAUAUUUUUUCUAUUAAAACUUUUUUUCGAACAAAACUUCUCCUCAAACUUUAAAAUCAGAUGUCUUAUAGUUUAACUAAAGUCAUUUAAAUUACCUUACUAUCCGUUUAAAAAUGGUUUUCAAUCUUCGCUUUUUAGUUAAAAAAAUGAGGUAAAAUACUUGAUAAGAUUUUGAAACCCAUAAAAAUGUUUUCUAAGAGAACCAACAAAUUCCUAGAUAUUAGGACAUGAUGAACCCAGAUAUUUAGCGCUAUUGAAAACAUCUCUAAAAGCUUAAAAAUGGAUUUAACUCUAGAAAAUAGAAAAAGUCUAAAAAAACAAAAAAAACGAUGUCUAAAUGCAUUUUAAAAAACUUUCUGAAACAAAAAUAUGAGAUUCAACCAACGGAA
rnacentral:lncRNA from 1 species